GAUUGGUGGUCACUAUAUAUUUAAAAACCUCAAUUUUAAACAGGCAGACAAAUAAACAAAGAAAAAGAAGGCUUAAAAUUUUUCACAACAUUCAAUUUUAGAGUACUGAUUGCUAUAUAGCCAGAAAUGGAUUUAGAUAAUGUGUUUUGUUUUUUUUUAUAACUCGGGGUGUCCGAAUCAGCUUAUAUGUACCACAACUAAUAUGCUGUUGAUUACUUCUUAGAUGGUCUUAUAGUGUUGAGAAGAAAAGGAAAGAGCAGUUUAAGGUUUUUAUUUCACUAAAUUUAUAGGUCCUCUAAAUCAAACUUCGUUGAUGAUUGACCAAGUAGUAGAAUUAUGAAGUUUCUGCUUUAAUUCAUGUUCUUAUGAAAUAAAAAAAAGAAGACAAACUUGAUUUAUUUUGUGUGAGAUAUUUUUUUUUCUUCCAUUUAAUUGGAUAUAUAUUUCUCAUGACUUUUCAGGCGAAAUGGGGUUUCGAUUGUUAUUCCAGCAUUCUCUCCGACUCCAUUCAUGAUGAUUUAGUGGCCUUGCUAUUCAAUUAAGAAUUUGUGAUUGGCUUUAUGUGUAAUAAGUAGGGAAGUAAAUAUUCUUGUAAGAGAAUCGACAAGAGGUUGUUCUUGCAAGUGGAAGUUCUCCUGAAGUUGUCAUCUCCACUCACAGAGGUUGCAAAGUUUCAUCUUUUGUAAUAUAAAACCAGUGAUGUUCCAUUUGAAUUGCAGGGUCUGUGGAGGGUUUUUUUGUUUUUUUUUUCCCUUCCUAAUUAGGUUUAGUUUUAUUGUCUGUAAUUCUGAGUAGAUUUUCCCAUCUCUAAGCAAAUGGGUGUGAAACAUUUUCUUUACGCUUUUGAUUUCACAGCAGUUUUCUUUUUGUGGAUACCGCGUUGUGAAUAAAUUAGUAUCGCAUGGAAGAAAAAAUUAAAAAAUUAACGGGAAUAAGAAUUUUUAAGUUCAAACUCCAUAAUGUUUAUUAUAUAUAUAAAAAUAAUAGAUAUAAAAAAAAUUCAAGUCUAAAAUUAUUAGUUAAAGUGACAAUUUAAAUAGUAUGAAAAAAAAACACAACAAUAAAUAAAUUGACAAAAAAUAAUAAGAAAAAGAUUGAAAGAACAAUGGCUCCAAGCCUAUCUGGAUUAUCAAACAACCUGAUGCUAACCAAACUAAAAAAAAAUCAGAACAAAAAGAAAAUCAGAACAAAAAGAGUUAAUCUUAAAAAAAAAAAACAUCAACUUUAAGAAAAAUGAGAAAAAACAAAGCAAUCUCAAGGCAAACCUUAUAAACCUCAUCUAAUCUAAAAAACCUGUAACUUGUUAGAUUAUGGACCUGAGUUCAAUUAAAAAACUUAAAUGUCAUUCAAUUUAAUUUUAAAUGAUGAAAACGUUGAAAAAACUACUAAAAACAAAACUUGCAAAAGAAAAAGAAAAAAAAGGCUUAAAAUCUGACAGGAAAAACCAAAUAAAGAUAAAAUUUGGAAAAAAAUCAAAAUUAUCCCAAACAAAAUUGGGACUAAAUUCGACAUAAAAAUCAAAUGAAAUUAAAUAUUCAGGGAUGGAAUUGUAAAAAACCAAUCCAUCAAGAAAAUGAUUUAAAAAUAGCAACUAAAAGAAACAUGACCAUAUUUGACACAAAAAUUAAAUGAAAAAUAUGUCUGGGGUGAAAUUGUAAAAAAAAAAUCAAUCAAAAAAACAAUUCAAAACAAAAUAAAUAGCAAUUCAAAAAAUAAACACCAAAUUUGAAAAACAAUUUCAAAAAUUAAAUGACCAGGUAUGAAAUAAAAAAUAAAAUCCAAUUAAAAACAACCAAUGUAAAUAAAAGAAAUUGAAAAUAAGAUAAGAGGGGCUAAAUCGAAAGAACAAAACAAUUGAAGGUCUGAUUUUGAUUUUCGGCAUGGCCUGCACGCAAAUCCAUGAAGAAAGAGAAGGAAAAAAAAAGUCAUUUCCUGCCAUACCGCGCCGGACCACCACACACGGUCUCCACAUGGAGGAAGAGGACACUGAGAAGAAUCCAAUGAUGCAACAGAAGCGCCAGAACAACCAUCAAAUUCAGCCGCAAACACCGCUCGAAGUUGGUGGAGCGGUUGACGUGUUGGCAAGUGCUUUGCAUGUGCCAACAACUUUUUUAUUGUUUUUUUAUUACACAAAACUAAAAAUUCCCCCAAGACCAAUCAACAAUCACAAACAGACCAUGAAGAAAUUACCACAAAGCCCCUGAAUGCAAGGCUAACAAAUUGGAAUGGCAUGGAUAAUGUCGUAAUUGCACUGUUUGACCAAUCAUGAAAAUACAAAAUUACCCUUGUGCAGAAAGCAUCAAAGUAUUUUAUUCUAGGGUUAAAUUUUUUAUUUUAUUAUGCAUUUAUAAAUGUAAUUACUAAAAUAACCCCACUUAAUUCCUAAAAGAUAUUCAUGUCCUGUAGCAAAGACCAUCCUACCCUUGAAGCAAAGGUAAAAAAAAAAAAAAAAAAACUAAGAGAUAAGACAGUAACUAGAGCAUUGAAAUGAAUAGAAAAUAUAUCUUGGAGCACCGUAAAAUAAGAUCACCACCAGCGUUAGUUUUGUUUUUGGUUAAUAUCUGCAUAGAACGAUGGGUGGAUGAUGGGGGCCAUAUUAAUAAUAAUGGAUGGUGUUAGUAUGACAGUUACAUAGUGUUGUGGUCUCUCCUUUUUGUGAUCCAAUCUCAGCUUUCAAUACUCUUGAAAACACAAGGCCAAAUCGAGUUGAAGACUCGAUUUUUGAAAAAUUGUCUUAGUAUGUGCAUGCAUAUGUGACAUAUUACUUUAUAUACCACCCUAUUCUAGAAUAAUUUAAUUUCUAUUUACUUAUUUUUCAAAUUUCUCCUUUUAUCUUUUUACAAAAGCAUUAACAUGUUUUUUGAAAAAUUGUUUUUUAUCUUUUAUCUCAGUUUUUUGUUUCAAAUUUCUCCUUUUAGAAGAUCCUGGUCGGUUAAUAUGCAAUAAAUCAAAUGCGCGAUUCUUAUUAACAUGUUUUUUGAUAUAAAAAAAAUUAAUUGCGAAUAAAAAAAACAAAUGCAUACAUUUAAUAAAAUAAAACUAGAAUCAUAUGCGUUAAUAAAUAUGAGGGAUAAAAUUAAAAAACAAAUCAAGAAAAUGAUAAAAAAUAAAAUACAACGGCAAUCAAAAGAAUGAAAACCAAAUUAGAUAAAAAGUUAAAUGAAAUAAAAUGUUGAUGGAUGAAAUUAAAAAAAAAAUCAACCUAAAAAAGCAUUAAAAACAAAACAAAUAUCAAUUAAAAGAAUAAAAAUGCAAAUUGAUUUGAAUAAAAACUGACAAAACACAUUUAAUUUUUGGAAUUGUUGGUGUGAAAUCUAAGGAGAAGAGAGAGAGAAAAAAAGGAGAAAAAGAAAAAAUUCACUAUAGCCUAACCAUUGCAAUAUCGUGCACACAAGCCAGACCAUCGGGAAGAGAACAACUCGAAACAUCUAACACCAUUACAGAAGGCGACAUUUGAUCAUUUGGAGAUGUUGCACGCGCCACCUAAAGAGCGUGUGCGUCUCCCACUCGCUAGUGCCCGCAACAUAGUCAUUCACAUAGACUAUAUAUAUGAAUUGGCCUUGCCACUUUUUGUUUUUUUAAUUAUAUUUUUAUAUUUGUUAAAAGACUAAAUUGCUCAUCAUUCACAUUGUUUAUAACUAAAAAACUAUAAUAAAAAUAUGAAAACACCCUUGUACAUUAGUUUUAAUUUUUUUGCUUUAAGUGAAAUGUAGUCAUUUCAUUGUGCUAGCAAUACAUAGAAAGAUCGAAACACCCUUAGACACUAGUUUUAAAAACUUUGCUUUUAAGGAUAUUUAAGUCAUUUCACUAUGCAUCUGCUAUAUCAAAAAACAUAUUUGUCCUUGAUCAAUAUGAGAAUGAUAAGUGGACUAUAUGCAUGGAAAUGAUGCUGACGAAAGCUAAAGAUAACAAAAAAACACAAGACACAAAAGUUUGAUGAGCAAAAGGAGUUGCAGAUGUAAACUCUAAAUUUAUAGUUUUAUUCUUUUUAAAAACAAUACUCAAGAAGUCUACCUUCUUAGGAGGUUUACAAAACCUUAAAUGGGCCUGAAACCUUACAUCAACUAGGAAACAAAAUAAAAAAAAAUAUAAAAUUACAAAGGCAAUAAUCAUAAAAUCCAAAAUUAACAGAGAAAAUAACAAACUUAGCCCACACUGAGGUCUUAGAUGAAAUUUUUGAUAUAUAAAGAUCUGACGAUCUGCAUAGUGAUGUAGUGGCUACUAUAUGAAAAAUGACUUUCAGAAACUCAUGUAAAAAUUUGAGUCUGAUCCAAUUGUCAAAUUAAAAGUUAUAGUAUUUUUAAAUCAUCAUUUUGGUUUAAAGCGAUCAUACCUCAUCUUGGUUCUAAAUCUGUCUCACUGGUUCAUAAAUACAUAUGUUAAGUCAUCCACAUAAUCUAUCUAGGGCAAAUCGCUGUCUAAUUGUGACAAAUAUUUACUUGACUACUCAAAAUCACUUGUUAUCACAAGCUCGAUUAUAUAAGAAAAAUACCAAAUUGGCCCCGAUAAUUAGUUAAAUGGUUUGGUUUGAGAAAAACUAAACGAUCAUUAUAUUAUUCCAAUGACUAUAUAGGCUUUUAUCUUCUUUUUUUUUUAAUUCAUUGUUCCAACUAGCUUAAUUGUUAAAGGAAGACAUUAGCAACUUUAAUUUGAAGUUAAAGUUUAACUUUUAUCUAAAUUGCUAUAUUCAUGUUAUUUAUCUCAAUCAUAUUGAAUUGAUGCAUGUCAUAUAUUUUUUUAACUAAACAAUUAAAACUAUGUUUAAAUCUACUAUAUAAUAUUUAUUUAGUUUUACAUGUAAUUUUGCAAUCUUGUUUGGUAAAGCUUCUUGAAGCAGCUAAAGCUACCCAUGGAACUUUCGAAACCAGGCUCUGUAUUGUUAGCUCUAUCCUGUUCUUGCUAUUUUAAAACGGGGAGAGGAUUUUUGACUGAGAUAAGCUUCCAAGAUAUUUGCUUCUCCUUGAAGAAUUGUUUCUGGAGAAAUGGUAUGAUGUCUCGCGAUUUUCAGUUACAUUAUUUUUAGAUUUAGACUCAUUUACAUCUCUCUCUCUCUCUCUCUCUCUCUCUCUCUCUCUAUCUAUCUAUAUUAGUGGAGCUUCAAAUUUAUGCAAUUACUGUAUGAUGACCAGAUAAGCAUGCUGUUUCAUAACAUGGACACAUUGCUUUCUGCACCGAUGAAGGUCGGGAAUCAGGAGAGAGGGGGCAGCAGGAGAUCUUAGAAGCAAAACCUCACAAAAGCUUAUCUAAUGAAUCUAAGGAAACAAAAUUGCAAAACAUACAAACACGUUCACACACCUGACAAACCACCUUCUCCUUCCUUCAUUCCAGUGAUCGUGUCAUACAAUGGCCGAUUUAGCGUCUCUGGCAGGUAAAAUGCAAGCAAUCCUCCUACAAAACCACAACUUGCGAAAACUGCAAAUGGUAAUGCACCACCCAUAACUACGAUGAAGGGUGCCAAUAUUGCCCCCAUUUGUGCUGAUUGCGUUGCACAACCAAGGGCUACAUUUCUAACAACUGUAGGAAACAACUCCGCUGUGUAUAUAAACAGCAAAUUAUAUGUCCCAGCCAUACCAAAAAUACCCAAAAUCCCACAAAUCAUCCUCACCACUUUCCAUAUCCCAACACCUCCCAUCAAACUCCCUGCAAAGCAGAAAAAGCCGCUGAACCAUAGAGUCCCGAUUGUCAAUGGUUUCCUUCCAAACUUGUCCAACAAAAGUGCUGUUAUAGUGAAUGCUGGCAUUUCAGCCACUGCAUUAAGCACCACAUUGAGGUGAAGGUUGGUAUCAAGGUUGACAACAUUCAGGCUAAGGCCAUAGUAGACAACUGAGCACAUGAAGUUGAUUGCUACUGCUAAAAACAGGCGAACACGGGUGACUGGUGAGCGAAUUACGUCAAUUACAGAACCAGUUAUUGCUUCUUUUGUAGCAAAACCUUGCUUGUCACUUUGGUCAUUGACAUAACUUUCAUUUACAUCUUCAUCAAGGGCCAAGACAACUCCAUCAGGAAGAUGUUUUCCAUUAGAUUUAGCAAUGGUCCUCAUUAAUGUCAUUGCUUCAUUGAUCCUCCCACGAACAAGGUACCAACGCGGGGACUCAGAGAUAAAAGGAAGAACAAUGACAAGGAAAAGGAUAGAGGGGAUAGACGAGGCAAUGUACAGCUCCCGCCAAGAGGGGAAAAUGUAAGCUAUACCUGACAGCAUUGCUAUUCCAGUUGAGAAAAAAUAGAAUGUGGACAUGCCAGCCGCACCACGUUUCGAGGAUCCUACAGGCUCGGUAGCAAGAACAAAGGCGCAGAGGCCAACGCCACCAGUGCUGAAACCGGUGAGGAGACGAAGUAGGAGAUAGGUCCAGUAGUCUGGGGCUAAUGCUGUUAAGCAACCAAACACAGCAUUUAGUAAGCAAACUACUGUCAAGGAGCCUUUUCUUCCUAGCGUAGAGUCCGAGAGAUGACCAAAUGUUCCAGCACCUGAAAAAAAUUAAGAUAACAUUCAUCAAUCACAAUCUUAAUUCAAACUUCACAUUAUAAUUGAAAAGUUGGGAUCCUUGACCUAACAUUUAAGGUAUUUUCGUGACACACCCUCAGUACAAAAUUUCCAGCAAUGUCCUGUGAACUUGGGAUUUCAUUCUAGUACAUACACAUAAAUUUUGUAGGCUCAGAUUCAAUAGUUCAGUUCUACCAUAACAAGGUUCUCUAUUCCUUGAAUAUUUUACAUUGACACUCCAUCUUGAACUCGUUGUAAAAAUCCAGUUCUGUUUGUCGAACAAAAAAGAAAACUUAUUAUAAAAUAAGUUAAUUUACAGCCAUGCACGCCCAACUUCAGUACUAGAUAUAUUGACAAAGAAGUUAGAUGCGUAGGCUCCAUUGUUUCCUUGUGAAUUGCCACAAUAUUUUAUAAAUUGAUUAUUUCGUGAUAGCAAAUGGCAGAGACUUUAUUGUAAUGCAUGCAUGCCAAGUGAUGCGUGACCCCCCCAUUGAUAACAAAAAAGAAAGUGGGGUUGAUCACAGCAUUUAUUGUAGAGAAAGUGCCUCAAGAAAUUCAUAAAGUAGGGAAGAAGAAGCAUGCUAAAGAUGCUUCCGAGAACGAGGAAAAGAAAUAAAGGGUUCGGGGACCCGAACUCCUGAGAGGCAUCCGAAGAAAAGGAAGUAAAAGGUGCUUGGUUCAGCAUCAUUGCAGCUUAUAAUGUGAUUUUCAUAUGACCACAUUAAGUAGAAAGUCCGAGCAAUCAUCAUAGCCAUCAAUCAUGUCAUAUGACCCACUUGUGUGAAUUCUUCUAGUAAAGCAAUAAAGGAUCCCGGACACCAUUCGAAAAGUUUACGGGGGUUUAUCGGAAUCCUUCCCUUUUUAAGGUUACUUUCUGCCGCAAAAUGCCUUACAUUUUAUGAUCAAAUGUAGAGAAACCCAUUUGACAGCUUAUGGUUUAUGUAGUUUUUUUUGGAAAUUUUAAACAGAAAAAACUAAUAAAAAAGUAUUCGGUGUGGUAUUUCAAAAUCUGUUUCCAAAGCUAUGUAAAAAUCACAAUUCCGAAGCCACAAGAUGAAGUCAUUGUGAUUUUAAAUAUGUUAUAAUAUUAAAAACAUUUUAAAAAUACAUAUACUAAACAAUUUUCUUACAAUAACAAAACAACAACCACAAACAAUAUUAAAUAAGAAAGGCUAUGUUUGGUUUUCCUCCACUUAAAUCCCACGUGAUCUCCAUAAACGACAGAUACAAUGAGCACAGAAAUCUACAACAAGACUUUUUGUGACAAGAGAGAGCCUCGAGUCUAUAAGAAACACAAAUAGUGGAACGAAAAGUCUUCUAGUAGUAUCUUUAUAUUUAUCUUUAUCAAAAAGCAUCGAGGAUUUUUUAUUUUUUGUUAGUCACGAGUGUCUCAAUCCCUAUUCUCUCCUCCAAACCGUCCUUCGAUUGUUUGUUUUUAUAUUUUAAAACUGUUUUUAAUAUAAAAAAAAUUUAAACUGUUUUAAAUUUAUUUUUUUAGAUUUAUUUUGAUAUAAUAAUAUUAAAAAAAAUAUAUAUAUUAUUUUAAUAUAAAAUACUUUAAAAAAUAAUCACUACUUUACCUUCAAAGACUUCAGACUUGUUGGAUCUCAGUUUCAUUAAUUUAUAACCCUACAAAUUCUAUCCAACUUACAAAGUUGUGGGAAACAAGAGUGUUGAAUCUUCUUGAGAUAGUAAGAUGUAUCCUCAUGUGAUUAGUACACUAUUAAAAAAGAGAGAUUAUGAUAAGCUUGCCAACCUAAUCUCGAUAUAGAAUAUUGUCGUAUUCCAUAAUUUUUUAUUAUUAUUUCCACAUGCAAGAUUAAUUUAGUAGUCCUUUCAGCAUUAAAUAACCAGCGACAAACUCUACUAUUUAAUUCCAAUCUGUUGGUACAAAAGAGGUGUCUGCCUUAUCAAAUACCAUUCCCUAGAAUGAGAAACACAAAUAAAAUAAUAAAUCUAAAAAUAUAUUGUUUUUAGUAUUGAUAAUUUCCUAGAAUGAGAAUCACAAACUCAACCCAUGACUUCUUUCUCCAAGAAUUAAAAAUUAAAUAAAAGAAUCUCAUUGCUCCUAUCUAAAUUUCAGAAUCUUUCCAAGCGAUCAGAGUUCAAAAUCCAAAUAAUUAGAAAUAGUUUUAGUUGAUUUGAUUGAAAUUUUCUUCUUAAUUAGAGUCCAAUAAAAUUUAAUUCUUAUUUCAACUAAAAUUUUAACAUGAAUGUUAUUUGAACUCUAUCACCGUUCCAAUUAUAAUUCUGCAUUUUUUUUAAUAGAAAAGGAAAGGGGAAAAAAAAACAAAUACUAAGGUGAAAAAAAAAAACCAAAUACUAAGAGAUCGAGAUAUAUCGCACUUAAAAAAGAAAAAAAAACAAAGAGAGACAACUGAUCAUACUCACCAAUCAUGCAGCCACCAAAGAAAACAGCUUGAACCAACCCAACCUUGUACUUUUCUCCACAAACCAACCCCCACUGAGCCACCGUUGAGCUCCCCGCACCACCAACCCAAUCCCACGAACCAGGUUCGAACCCACAAACACUCUUAGCCAUCUCAUCACAACCCGAACCAAGACACCUAAACUCCGGCUCGCGGUCAGCAAAUAUCAUCACCAUAGUAUGGAAGCCCUCAAGCGCCCAAGCCAAGCAUGUUAACACAAAGUGACGUAAUUGCCAUGUCCCAAAUUCACCACAAUGUUUCUGUAACAUGUCAUCUAUUGUUAGCUUUUGAACGUCUGGUCCCUUCUCGGGUUUCCUUGCCGGUUCUUCUAAAGAAGAUAGCAAGGGUGACCGGAGGUCCGGGUCCGAUGAGGGUAUGACAGACAUGUAUAAUAUAUCUAUCGGUGUCGCAGGAACAAGGUGGAUAUUUUCAAGUGUGGUGAGUAAUAUAUGAGCAAGACCACCAUAUAUAGGCCGGCAAAAAUAAAUAAUAACAAAAAAGGAGAAGGAAUGUUGAUGUUAAAAAUAAAAUAACACUAUAUAUAAAGAAAGUAUAAAUAUAGAAGCAGAGUUGUAUGGGGAUAUGCAUCUCACACGUUUUGGCCGUCUCCGGAGGAAUUUAGGAAAAAAAAACUAGAGUUGUGGUGUUGUGUGGUCGGGAAGACACUUGGAAGGAAAUCAAGCCCUUUAUUUUUAAAUUGACACGUGGAGAGAUGAAUGGUCAUUGGAUUUGGGUAGGGUGCCAUCCGAGAUGAUAAAGGGUAAAAAAAGUUCGAGGAAUACUGCAGCACCGUUGAAUUGUGAGUGCCGAGGCCAUGAGGGGCUGCUGGAUCACUUUAGUCAAUUGGGAUCUAAUAGCACAUUCGUAUAUACGAUUGCUUGGCUUUGUAAUUAAUCUCCUGUCAACUCGAACACUUGUGGUCUUAUUACAUGAAACUUUGUUUUGCACACAUUUCAAGGGUGUUUAGUGUUGCGAUUCAAUCGUAAUUUUACAAAUUUUUUAAAAUUUUUUUUGCUUUAAUUUAUUUUUUAUAUUUUUACAUUGUUUUUUAUAUUAAUAUCAAAAAUAAAUUUUAAAAAAUAAAAAAUUAUUAUAAUAUAUUUUUAAAUAAAAAAUCACUUUUAAAAACAAUCUCUACCACUAUUCUAAACACCCCCUUCACUUAAGAUACCAUAUGAAGAAUUAGUGGUAUCCUAGUAAGUUUUGUCUCGGGCUAGUACUCAUGAAAUCUAAAUUCUAAUAGAAAAUUCAUGAAGUGUGAUUGGUAGUUGAUCCUUUUCUAAUUAAAAGACAGCCAAUUAUUUUUAAAAUAAUUUAUGAAAUUUGAAUUUUUUUCUAUUUUAUUAUUUUUCAAUUUUUUUAUAUGUCAGGUUUGAUUAUUAUUAUUUUGAUUGCGGUUUAUUUUAUUUAAAAUAAUUUAUGAAAUUAGAUUUUUUUUUAUCAAUUUUAUUCUCCUUUAACUUUUUCAUCUAUCAUAUCUGGUCUUUAUUUACUUAAUAAACUUGAAAAAUAAAUUAUAAUAUUAUUAAGUUAUUUUUGAUAGUAUAGCAAAAUAUUAGAAAGUAUUUUUUAAUUAAUUUUUCAUGAUGAUGUCAAAUAUAAAAAAUAGAGUUUUAAUAAAAACAACUUUCUAACAAAAAUUACUUUUCGGGACAUAAUUUCAUGGUACUUUCCAAGCAUAGACAAGGAGCUUUCAUAUUAAUUCGCCGUUUUCUUGUAAAUGACUAGCCCUAAGCCUACAUUUUAAGUAAGCCCAGUCCAACAUUAUAAAGGCUAAGGCCACAAUAAAUAAACCCAUAUAUUCUGAAACUAAGGCAGCCCAAACACAGACUUUGAGAGUCCAUUUAACACAGCAUUGUCAGUGUGGCAUAGGAUGAGAGGAUACUACUUUACAGAGCAAGAUAAACGUAUAGAGAGUUUUAUAGAUUCUCCAUUGAGCAAUACAAAAAUGUUGAUACAGUAUAUGAAAUAAACAUUCAAUACAUGGAAUGUUGCUGGUGAUUCUUUUUACCCAGCAGGUGUAGUAUGUGGUAAGGAAUGGGAAUCAAGCACAUAUUGUUUUUUCUUCUAAAUGCAAUACCAAAGGCUUCAUCCAUGUCUAGAUUUUCUGGCACCAUUCCACUAGAGAGUUCCCAUUCAAAAAGGUAGAGAAAACUUGCUAGGGUAACCUCAACAAUGGCCACACCAUAUGGACAUACCCUCCUUCCAGAACCAAAAGGGAUAUAUUCGAAAUGAUCAUUUUCAAAUUUACUCAACUCUUAUUUUAUUGUAGAUUCAUUGCUAUCUUCUAAUGUGUUUAUCAACCGGUGAAGCAGAUGUAUUCAACAAGUACAAGGAUGACAAAGGCAACCUCAAGGAAAAUCUUACAAAAGAUGUGAAAGGGUUAUUAAGUUUGUAUGAGGCUUCGUACCUCAGUGCUCACGGAGAAAUUAUACUGGAUGAAGCUCUUGUGUUUACUGAAACUCACCUCAAGUCCAUGGUAGCUCGAUUGGUUUCUCCUCUUGCUGACCAAGUAACUCAUGCCUUAAAUCGACCCGCACACGGGGGCAUAGUAAAGUAUGAACAAUGGUAUUCCAUCUCUUUCUACGAGCAAGACGAGCUGCAUAUCGAACCUGUACUAAAGCCUGCAAAUUCGAAUUUCAAUACGCUGCAAAAGUUGUACCAGGAGGAGCUGAGAAAUCUCUCCAAGUAAUUAUUAUAAGCAGGAUUAUUAGAGGAGAAUAAGAAUUAUUUAACCAGAUGGAAAAUAUUAAUUACAUUUGUGCACUGUAGGUGGUGGAAAGAGUUGGAAUUUACGACAAAGCUACCUUUCGCUCGAGACAGAUUGAUCGAGUGUUACAUUGUGGUGUUAGGCCUGUUUAUCCAGCCACAGUACGCUCUUGCCCGACAGAUACUAACCAAAUCUACUAUGCUUUAUCCAUAUUGGAUGACAUAUAUGAUGUACAUGGUACUAUUGAAGAACUUGAGCAGUUCACCAAAAUGAUUGAGAGAUACUAACCAAAUCUACUAUGCUUGUAUCCAUAUUGGAUGACAUAUAUGAUGUACAUGGUACUAUUGAAGAACUUGAGCAGUUCACCAAAAUGAUUGAGAGGUAUACUAGAUUAAAUCCUGGUUCUGUAAUUGCAACUCUAAACACAGAUUUGGGCGGCGUGAUUAACUGAGUGGUGAUUAAUGAAUUUAUUUCAGAUGGGAUACAAGCAUGGAAGAUCUCCCUGAUUACACGAAAGUUUGGUUUGAGGCACUAUUUGUUUCCUUGAGUUAAAUUGAGGAAUAAACAACCAAGGAAGGGAGAUCUUACUGUGUGUCUUAUGCAAAAGAAGCGGUAAAUUUGAUUCUUUUGUUAACUUAAUCGGCAUAUUUUACUUCAUUGGUUUUAACUGUAGUUCAUUUACAUCACAGGAAAAUAAUCAAGUUAGGUCCUACAUCAUUGAAGCAUGAUGUUUUAACGAAGAUCAUGUGCCAACAUUAGAAGAAUACAGGAAAAAUGGGGUGUUUAGCUGUACUUACCCUUUGCUCACAGUUUCAUCCUUGUGUGGGAUGGGCAAAAUCGCUUCAAAGGAGGUGUUCGAUUGGUUGUUCACUCAUCCUAAAAUUCUAGCAUCUACAUCUGAUCUAUUGAGGCUCAUCGACGAUGUGGCAUCUCAUGAGGUUUGAAAUAAACUUAAAAAACCUGUCCAAAUUGUAAAACGGACUAAACUCCUAUCUAACUUGUGCAACAUUCGUUUCUACAUUGCAGUUUGAACAAGAAAGAGGCCAUGUGUUGAAUGCUGUAUGAAGCAGCAUGGAGUAUCGAAGCAAGAUGCACAUGAUGAGUUGACAAAACUUGUCGAGAGAACCCUAAAGGGUGUAGCUCAAUUGGCCAGGACUAGGUUUGCUCUCUAAAAAUCACCAGUUCAAGUCUCACAAACCUCAGGGCCACUGGAGGCUUGCAUAGUCGUUAACUUCAGGAUCCAUGAGAUUAGUCGUGGUGCAUGCAAGCUGACCCGAAGAUCCACAUUAAUAAUAAUAAUAAAAAAAAAACUUGUCAGAGAGUGACUGGAAAGACAUAAAUGAGGAACCACUUGGUGUUCCCAAGAAGGUUCUCCAAGUUUUUCUCAAUUUUGCUCGUGUGGCCGAUGUCUUCUACAGUGAUUAUGAUGCUUUUACAGAGUCUAUAACCAUGGCAAAAGAUAUGCUGGCUGCUUUUCUCAUCAAUCCAAUGCCCAUUGAAUAAUUCCUUCUGUGGUUCUGUUGCUUCACAAUGGAUUGUACAAUAGACAAGGAUAAGAAAAUGUAAGUUGUCUUUGUGUUGCGCGGAUAUGUAACUUCUUUCUAUCUAUCUGUAUGGCUCUUUAGAACCUGGAAUUUCUGUUUUGUGUGAUUUUGACUAAAUGCAAUUCCUUCGCAUAUCCAUUACAAAAUUAUCUAAAGAUCAAAAGAUUUCCAUGGAUAGUUGGGAAACCUCUGAAUUUUUAUCAUUCAUUGUAAUAACCACUCUAUAUAAAUCAAGAAAACUGAUCUAAAAAACCAUCUAAUAGGUGGUCUAAUAGUAAGAGUUUGGGACUAAAGGGUUUGCUUCCCCUGUGGUCUUAGGUUCGAGCCCUGUGGUUGCUAAUAUGAUGGUCAUUGGAGGCUUACAUGGUCGUUAAUUUCAGGGCCCGUGGGAUUAGUCGAGGUACACGCAAGCUGACCAUGACACCCACGUUAAUAAAAAAAAAACUGAUGUAAAAGAAGAAGAAGAACCUUUCGGAGUAUAAAUCAAGUUUCAAAGUACCAAAAAGAGUUUUUUAUUUCUCUCAUGUUGAAUGAAGAAUAUAUGCAAAUAUAUAUACUACUGGAUCAACAAAUCAGAUCCUAUAAUCAAGCUAUUCUGCCUAUAAUAUUACUUUUAUAAUUAGAAAAGAAAUAAUAUUAUUCCUAUAAUUUCCAUAUAUAUUAAUACUAAUACUAAAAAAAAAAGAAUUAUGCAGAACAAGAAACCUAUAGAAAAGAAAAGAAUCAUAAAAAAGAGGAAAGAAUGAUAAUAUUUCAACAAUAUAAUCUAUGGCGAGGAUAACACAUGCAGAUAUAAAAAAAUAUCGUAAUAAAUAAAUACACAACGAUCUUACAAGAUUUGACUAUGUUUACUUAAGAGAAAGAGUGAGAAUUUACUAUAAUAGAAAUCAAUACAGUUUUGGUGAAGUGUUACUUUAAGAGUGUGGUUGCAAUUGUUUUUCAAAAUAUUUUUCACUUAGAAAUAUAUCAAAAUAAUUUUUUUUAAAAAAAUUAUUUUUGACAUCAACGCAUCAAAAUGAUCUAAAAAUACCAAAAAAUAUUAAUUUAAAGCAAAAAAAAUUCAAAUUUCUUCAAAAUUUCUUUUGAAAUGCAAAAAUAAAUAAGGCCGCAUAUGCUGGAUCCUUACAGCACACAAUAAUUUGCUAUUUCUAGCACAAAAGAGCAUUUAAGUGCAUAUAUAUAUAUAGCUAGGAUCAUAUAUAGAGAAAUAUAUCUGAAUUAAUUAAAAAGGAGUCGUUUUUUUAAAUGAAAAUGGUAACUACAUUAUUCAAAAAGUCACCUUUUUAUAUGCAUAUGUUUAUAGGCGUGAGGUUGCAUCAACUGGCUAGUUAACAACUAAUUUAAUAACAUUUCAUUCUUAACACGUGCUAAGACUCUUUCUAAAAAAAUUAUAAGUCAUAAAGUAACUUCUACAGCUUUAUUGGUAUGUUAUUAUUCCUAACUCUAUCCAUAUUAUUUUAAAUUGAGUUAUCAUAAUUCAUUUUGGACUACUAAUCCCAUUUAGAUUUGACAUAUGAGCAUAUCAUUCUCUCAUUUUCUAUAUAGAUUUUGCUCAAGCAUAUGAUAUUUAUUUUUAAAAAUAAAUAUGCACAUAUCCGUGAUGCAUAAAUUUUGUUGACAAAGUUACUAACGAUAUGGGCUAAGACACAUUUAGGACACAAAAGAGUGUUUUUUUUUAUAUUAUUAUUAACAUAGGUGUCUGGGUUAGUUUGCACGCACCGUGACUAAUCUCACAUGCUCUGAAAUUGACGACCAUGUAAAUCUCUAGUGGCCUUGAGGGGACUCGAACUUGUGACUAUUGGGCAGCAAACUCAAUGCCUGACCAAUUGAGUUAUCCCUCAGGGUUACAAAAGAGCGUUCUUAUAUAUUGGCACAGGCAGGCGACUUAAGAGUUCUUUGUACUUUUUAAAAAAUUAUUUUGAUGUAUUAAUGUUAAAAAUAAAUUAAAAUAAAUUAAAAAAUAUUAUUUUAAUAAUUUUUCAAACAAAAAAUAUUUAAAAAAACAACUUUUACUCUAACACUACCUUACUCUCAAAACAAAGAAAUAAAUGUGCCGUUUUAAAGGAAUACGAAUAUUCAUGCCCACCUCUUUACCAAAUAUUGUGAUAUUUUUUCUUGUCUAAUGGGUAAUCGGUCCUUAACGGUAUUAGGGCGAAAGAGAUAUUUUUCUCGGAGUAAUCGUUCAAAAGUCCUUGAUAAAUAAUUAAGUAUUGGGACAAAAGAAUUGAGUUCUCCAUACGAGACAAAUGAAACAAAAAAGGUACUUCUUCGUUGCCCUUUUCUCGUUCUCCAUCACGUGUUUUCUGGAUUUUUUUCAUAUAUACUAGUGUUUUUUUAUUCAAGUGAAUGUCUGAAUCAGUUUAUGCAUAUUUUAAUUAAUUUCACAAGCCCUGAAGUUAACGAUAAUAUAAACCUCCAGUGACCAUCAUAUUAGCAACCACAUGACUCUAACUUGAGACUAUAGAAGAAGCAAACUUCUUGGUCUCAAGCUCUUACCACCAGGCCACCUAUUAGAUGAUUUAUAUACUAGUUUUAUUCCGACGCAAUCUUGCAUGAUGAAUAAUUUUUUUCUGAAUACAAAAAAAAAAUUAAAAAAAAUACUAAUAUUGUUAACGUUUUGUUUACUAUUAAGAAAAAAUUUAAUUGCAAACUUAAAAAUUUAUACAUGUAUUAAAUACAAUAAACUUGAAUUUUAUACACCAAUAAAUAAUAAAAAGUUUGUUGAUUUUAACCGUAUAUAAAAGUUAAAAAGCUAAAAUAAAGAUUUUUCUGUUUAGAAAAGAAAAUAUUAAAUAUUUGUUUCAGUUUUUAAUAUUUUAAUUAGUUUGAAUCAAUAAUAUUUUUUAUUACCAAAUUAAGCAUUAACUCAAUAUUAAAAUUUAUUUUUAACAUAAUGAGAGCCCAUAUAAAAUUAACCAAAAUAAAACAUCAAAAUGAAUCUCAAGUAAACUUAAUGUGCAAGGAUUUAAUUAGAAAUAAAAAAGUCAAGUGAUAAAUUUUCUUAAAAAAAAUAUAUUGUGGUUAAAUAUAUAUUGCAACCCAUAAUGGAUUGUAUGUUUCUUCUAUAUUGUAUUUUUAUUGUUUUUUUUUAAUAUUUCACCCACGUCACACUACCCCGCAUCUUUAUGUCGACUUUGAUGUUGUCUCAAAUAUCCAAGUAGUCUAAAACUAAGGUUAUCGGGUUCUAUAAUUGAUUAAUCAAUUGAUUUUAUCAAUUUCAUCCAUUCCCUGUAGUUAAGAUAGUUGAUAGCUUAUACUUAAUGCUUGGUAAGCUAAUAUGGCUUAUGACUAGUACCUACAAAAAAUCUUUUUUGAUAAAAUGUUUAAAUAAAUAUUUAUUUAGAGAAAAAAAUACAAUAAUAUUUUAAAGAGACAUGCUCCGAAAAUAUAUAUGCAGUAGAGAAUGAAAAUUAUGAAUUUUUAUUUUAAAGAUUUUAUUAUAUAUUUAUAAUUUAUGAGUCUUAUUAUUUUAUAAAAAAAAGAUGUAAAAUAAUUUUACCCUAAUAAUAUUUAAUAAGAGUUAAAUACCUAUCUUUGAUAAUAUGAUAUUGCACUGUUUUUCAUUGUAUAAUUGGUACUGAGUCGUCAAUCAUGAAUCCACAGUCAGAAAAAUGAAAGUUGAUUUUUCAAGGAUGAAUGAAGUCAUCAAUGCUAGGGAAACCACCCAUUUCUACACCGGUUUUGACGAGAGCCCAAAAAGUAUAAAUGGUAACAAGUCCUAAAGCUUUCCCCACACCACAUGUUUUUAUUUUUUCUGUUUGUUUUUUUUUUUUUUGUCUUUUUUUUCCCACAUUUUUUUUCGCUUUUUUCCCUGGGCUUUACAUUUUUUUUCCCCAAGAUUGUCUUUUUUUUUUUAUUUUUUUAAUUAUCUUUGUCGAUUUUUUUAAUAUUGAAUUGGUUGAAAAUUUAGUUAUGUAGUUUUUUUAAAAAACAUUAUAGAUUACUACAAUGUUUCCCUACACGGUUUUUUCAAAAAAAAAUUUAUGAAUUUUUUUCUUUUUUUUUUCAAAAUACUCUUUGUCGAUUUUGCUUCGUAGUUGUUUUCUUUAAAACACUGUGGAUUGUUACAAUGUUUCUUCAUAUGAUUUUUGUUUGCUACAGUGUUUCCCCACAUGUUUUUUUUCAAAAUUAUCUUUUUUGAAUUUUUUUUUAAUAUUGAGCUGGUUGAGAAUUCAGCUUUAACUUUCCCCGCAUGUUUUUUUCCAUUUUUUUUAUUUUUUUUUUGCUUUUUUCUUCCAAAAUUGUCUUCUUCUUCUUCUUUUUUUUUCAAAAUUGUUUUUGUUGAUUUUUUUUCUUUAAAAACAUUGUGGAUUGCUACAGUAUUACCCCACAUGGUUUUUUUUAUUUUUUAUGAUUUUUUUCCUGAAUUGUCUUUGUCGAUUUUUUUUAUAUAUAUUGAGCUGGUUGAGAAUUUAGUUUCGUAGUUUUUUUCUUUAAAACACUGUGGAUUGCUACCGUGUUACCCCACUUGAUUUUUUUUAUGAUCUUUUUUCAAAAUUAUCUUUAUCGAUUUUAUUUUUUUUAAUAUUGAGCUGGUUGAAAAUAACAACUGUAAAUUUUGUCGAUUUUGCUUCGUAGUUUUUUUUUUAAAACACUGUGGAUUGUUACAAUAUUUCCCCACAUGUUUUUUUUCAAAAUAAUCUUUAUCGAAUUUUUUUUUAAUAUUGAGCUGGUUAAGAAUUCAGCUUCAACUUUCCCCGCAUGUUUUUUUUCCAUUUUUUUCCAUUUUGUUUUGCUUCUUUUCUUCCAAAAUUGUCUUCUUGUUGUUUUGUUUUUUCAUUUUUUGUGUUUUUUUUCAAAAUUGUUUUGUUGAUUUUUUUAUUUAAAAACACUGUGGAUUGCUACAAUGUUACCCACAUGGUUUAUUUUUAUUUUUUUUAUGAUUUUUUUUCCAGAAUUGUCUUUGUCGAUUUUAUUUUUUUCAUAUUGAGCCAGUUGAGAAUUUAGCUUCGUAGUUUUUUUCUUUAAAACACUGUGGAUCUCUAUAGUGUUACCCCACUUGAUUUUUUUGUUUUAUGAUUUUUUUCAAAAUUUUCUUUAUCGAUUUUAUGAUUUUUAAUAUUGAGCUAGUUGAGAAUAACAACUGUAAAUUUCCUCAUGAAACACUAUAGAUUGCUACAAUGUUUCCUUACAUUGUUUUUUUUUCCUUUCGGUUUUUUUGUUAUGAUUUUUUCCAAAAUUUUCUUUGUUCAUUUUAUUUUUUAAAUAUUAAUCUGGUUAAGAAUUUAGCUUUGUAGUUUUUUCCUUGAAAACAUUAUGGAUUGCAACAGUUUUUCUCCAUAUAACUUUUUUUUUUAUUUUUUCCACAAAUCCAUGACAACGCAUAAGCAUGCCACAAGCCCGCGGCAUCGCACGGACAUGGCAUCUAGUACUCUUGAUAUGCUAUGGAUCAUAUUAUUUUUUUAAAAUUAAAAAAAAUGUUAAGAAUAUAAAGAUUUUUUUUAGUAAUAUUAUUAAAUCGAAUUAUAUUAAAACAUGUCAACCCGACUCCUUACCUAGUUUGAGUUUUGAAUUGAAUUGCGUAGGAGCUAACCCAAAGUGAAUUAUUCAAUUUAAUGGAUCCAAAUAUAACUUGAAUGAGAGGUAAAAACAUGACAUAACUUUUAAAAAAUAUUUUAUGACAACAAUUGUUUUUUUAAUAUUGUGACAAUACUAGAUUGAAUCGACCCCGGUCACCCUGCAACCUAGGUCAUAAACUUCAAUGAGUUUAAUAACUUUAUUGUUUUUAUAAAUUAUUUUUAUUUAAUUUUAUGAUAAAAUUAUAUACUUGCAAAAUCAAGCACCAACCCUAAAAAAAAUAUGUUUAUUUAAAAUUAAAAAAAAUGUUAAGAAUAUAAAGAUUUUUUUUAGUAAUAUUAUUAAAUCAAAUGAUAUUAAAACAUGUCAACCCGACUCCUUACCUAGUUUGAGUUUUGAAUUGAAUUGCGUAGGAGCUAACCCAAAGUGAAUUAUUCAAUUUAAUGGAUCCAAAUAUAACUUGAAUGAGAGGUAAAAACAUGACAUAACUUUUAAAAAAUAUUUUAUGACAACAAUUGUUUUUUUAAUAUUGUGACAAUACUAGAUUGAAUCGACCCCGGUCACCCUGCAACCUAGGUCAUAAACUUCAAUGAGUUUAAUAACUUUAUUGUUUUUAUAAAUUAUUUUUAUUUAAUUUUAUGAUAAAAUUAUAUACUUGCAAAAUCAAGCACCAACCCUAAAAAAAAUAUGUUUAUUUAAAAUCAUAAUAACUUUAUAUAUAUAAAAAAUCUAUAAAUUAUAUUUCUCAAUCAAUUUAGAAAAAUUCUAGUUCAAUUUAUGCGCAUAAGAUUUGCCGAGUUUUGCCACGCACGCGCGUGUUCGGAACUUCAAACCUUAAUAUAGGUGCAUGUUCCGGCAACAUACAAUAGAAGAAACAAAUAGAAAUGUUAAUCUGGAUUGUGUACCUUAAGUACGUUUGAUAUCAUCUAUUAUUUUGGCUUUAAUUGGUUUAUAAAGUUUGAACAACAAAACUAAAAUAUUAAUUAUAUUAAAUUACAUCGUUGGAGCUGUAUUCAGUUAAGGUUCGUUGGAAAUUACUAAUUAGAAAUUAAUGAUAUGGAUUUUCUAAUAAAGAAAAAUAACCAUCAAUUUUCUUUAAAAAAAAAUAUAACCAUUCACAAACUUGAUGAAAUGAAAUCAUAUAUAUUUAAACUCAAACCAACAGUCCAAACUCUAUAUUUUACUUACAUCAUGUUACUCCUAACUGGAAGUGAACUCAAUCCUGUCUAGUAUGUCAUUCUUUAUUUAAUUACCUUUCAGGAAAUGUCGGAAAUUGACACUACCAGAAAUUCGCUUAAUACCAACGGCAUUACCGACAGAAUAAUUCUGUCGGUAAUUUAAGGUCGCAAUUACCGACCGAAUUUAAUCCGUCGGUAAGGCCGUCGGUAGACACUGACGGCCAAAUUCAGUCAGUAGUUACCGACGGAAUUGCGGACGGAAUGUUGAGAAUUUAAAAAAAAAAGGGUGGUUCGCUUACGUGGAGGUUUUUGCGAGUGAUUUUUACCGACGGAAUCACCGAGGGAUUCAAAACGACAGCUCCGUACGGUGACGUGACCGAUUCACCGUUUACAAUGCCGACGAAAUCACCGAUGGAUUCAAAACGACAGCUCCGCACGGUGACGUGCCCUGUUUAUCUUCAGACUAGCCGACGGAAUCACAGACGGAAUAAUGUCGUCGGUGAAUCCGUCGGCAAAAGUUAAUAUAUCCCCUCUCUGCCGACCCUCUCCUCCCCUAUUUCUCCUUCUUCUUCCCCAUCUCAACUCUCCCCAACUGCAAACAACUAGCCCCCCCUAAAAAAAAAAUCUCUCUCUUCUCAGCACAACAAGUCAUAUUUCUUGAAGUCUUCUCGUCACAGCAUCCGUGUUCUGAUUUACCGACGGAUUUUUAUCAGUUUUUGUAAGUAAUUCUAUCUUUUAAAAUUUUAACAUUUAAAUGUCAAUUUUACUGUUUUGUUAGUAGAUGUACAUGCUUUAUUGUUAUUUCACAAACAAACUUGUAGUAUAUGAAUGUAUAAUUUUAUACUUGUUAUGGUUUGUUUUAGAUUUUGUAAGAUUGUAUUUGUUUGUAAAUUGUUGAAAAUUUAUUGAAUUACCGAAUUACAUGUGUUGUUUUAAAAUAAUUAAUAGCUUGUUUAAUGGGUCCGUUUUAAUUUUUAUCAUCAAUGGUAUUGCGGAGUUGUAAUUUCCAUAAAUUGAUAUAUAUAUAUAUAUAUAUAUAUAUAUAUAUAUAUGUAUUAAUUUGUAUGGACGUUGAUAAUUGAUAAUGAAUAUUUAAUAUUUAUGAGAAGUUGUAAUUGGUUUGUUGGAUAAUCUCGAGGUAAACCAAUAUUUUUGCAAAUUUAUUUACCUAACAUAGUUAAUUAAUACAUGUUGUCAUCAUAAUUUUAUAGAGGUUCGAUAAAAGUCAUGGAUGAUCAUUCAUGGAUGUAUCGAGAUUCACCCCAAGGAUUGCGGAGGAUGGAUUAUUGUAACGGGGUUCAGAGUUUUAUUAAUUAAGCAAUAUUUAUUCCCAGAAAUUUUACUAAAGGCGGUAUUAGGUGUCCAUGCAGGAAGUGUCAAAAUAAAAAGUAUCUGUAUCCAAAUGUUGUAACGAUGCAUCUUCUACACAAAGGGUUUAUGGAGAAUUACCAGUGUUGGUAUGCACACAGAGAAGUAUUUGUUAGUAAGAGGAGAAUGGGAGAAAGGGUGGUUGGGUCAACUUCUAGUGCUAGCAACGUGCAUGAAGCGGCAAAUGACAACAUUAAUCCUUACAGGAAUAUGGUUAUGGAUGCAAUGAGAAUGAAUCAAGGUAAUGUCAAUCAAUGUCUAAUUGUAGAAGAAGAACCUAAUGCAGAUACAACUAGGUUUUUUGAUUUGUUGAAAGAUUCUGACGAACCAUUAUGGGAUGGCUGCACGAACCAAAAUAAAUUAUCGGUCGUAGCACAGGUGUUCACCAUCAAGUCAGAUCACGGGUUGAGUGAGGCCGGGUAUGACAAGAUUAUUGAAUGGGCGAGAAGCAUUUUACCUGAAGGGAACAGGCUGAAAGAGAACUUCUAUGUUGCGAAGUCCAUGAUGAAACCCCUCGGUUUAGGAUACCAGAAAUUUGACAUGUGCCCUAACUUCUGCAUGUUAUACUACCUUGAAAAUGUUGAGAUGAUCGAGUGUAUGACAUGCGGGCGUUCCCGUUACAAACCCAGAACUGGUAGGGGAAAGACUCUAGUGGUAUAUAAAAAACUUAGAUACUUCCCAAUCACAUCUAGACUGCAGAGGUUAUUCAUGUCACGAAGGACUGCUGAGCACAUGACAUGGCACCAAUCACAUGAUGCAGUUGAUGGAGUGAUGGUGCAUCCUUCUGAUGGCGAAUCAUGGAAACACUUUAACAGUGUGCAUCCUCACUUUUCAGCUGAAUCAAGGAACGUGCAUUUUGGGUUGUGUACAGAUGGAUUCAACCCAUUCGGGUCAUUUGCUGCUCUUUAUUCUUGUUGGCCGGUCAUACUGACGGUUUAUAACUUGCCACCGGGGAUGUGUAUGAGGCCAGAGUUCAUGUUUUUAUCUAUGGUCAUACCAGGUCCGAGCAGCCCGGGUCGGAAUAUAGAUGUUUAUCUUCGAUCGUUGAUUGAUGAGUUGACGCAGUUGUGGUCCUCCGAAGCUUUGACUUAUGAUAUAUCGAGGAAACAAAAUUUCCUUAUGAGGGCGGCUUUGAUGUGGACUAUCAAUGAUUUUCCAGCUUAUGGAAUGUUUUCUGAUUGGAGCACGCAUAGGAAACUAGCAUGUCCAUACUGCAUGGAAAACAACAAGGCAUCCACGCUAACAAACGGAGGUAAAGCUUCUUUUUUUUACUGUCAUCGCCGUUUCUUGCCACAUAAUCACAGGUAUAGAAAGAACAUAAAAGAUUUCUUUGUUGGCAGAGUUGAAAAGGAUGUUGCACCCCCACGUCUUUCUGGUGAAGAAUUGCAUGAUGUUGUAUCAGAGUACGGUGACAUUGUGUUUAGUCUCCAAUCAGGUAAGCAGAAGUUCCCUGGUUUUGGUUUGACCCAUAAUUGGGUAAAGCGAAGUAUCUUUUGGGAGCUUCCUUAUUGGAAGACCAAUCUUCUCCGCCAUAACCUUGACGUCAUGCACAUUGAAAAGAACAUGUUUGAGAACAUUUUCAAUACCGUCAUGGAUGUGAAGGAGAAGACAAAAGACAACAUCAAGGCUAGAUUGGAUGUAGCUUUGUUCUGUAACCAUUAAAAUAUGGAGUUGGUUUGUGAUGAGUCACGGGUCGCAAAACCAAGAGCAAGCUUCGUGUUAGAGAAAAACCCACAACUACUAGUCUACAACUGGCUUAAGAGUCUGUGUUUUCCGGAUGGACAUGCCUCAAACAUAUCAAGGCUGGUUAAUAUGGAGGAAUGCAGAUUGUAUGGAAUGAAGAGUCAUGACUGCCACAUGUUUAUGCAAACACUCAUCCUAUUAGCUUUUCGUGAUUUGUUGCCAAAGGGGAUAUGAGAUGCACUCACGGAGAUUAGUCAUUUCUUUAGAGAUUUAUGCUCCAGCAAGUUGAAUGUUGAUCACAUUGAGAGGCUUGAAACAAAUAUCGUCGAGACACUAUACAAACUUGAGAUGAUAUUCCCUCCAUCAUUUUUUGACUCAAUGGAGCAUCUCCCCAUAAAUCUACCGUUCGAGGAAAAAGUUGGAGGACCGGUCCAGUAUAGAUGGAUGUACCCAUUCGAACGAUUAGAUAUUAUAGUUGCAAUGUAAUUCAUAUAUAAAAGUAUUUUCUUUAUUUUUCUUCAUUGAAAAUAUUUGAUUAAUUCAAUACAGGUACUUGUUCAAUCUCAAGAAAAAGGUUAAGAACAAGGCGAAUGUUGAGGCUUCGAUAUGUGAGGCCUCGAUAUGUGAGGCCUAUAUUGUUGAGGAGAUCUCAACAUUUAUCUCAUACUAUUUCGAACCUCAUCUGAGAACGAGAAUCAAUUGCGUUCCACGGCAUGAUGAUGGCGGUGAAGUGCCUUCCAGUGGGAACUUGUCAAUAUUCUCCAAUCCUGGACGAUCCACACCUAAAAAUACUGUAAGAGGAAGAUAUUUGUCAGAAAUAGAGUUCAAACAAGCACAUAAUUAUGUUCUAUUUAACUGUGAUGAGCUGAGACCUUUUAUUCAGUAAGUGUAUAUAUGUGUAAUACUAAUUAAACUUUGUCAAUAAUAUACUAUUAAUUAUAUAUUGUAAUAUAAUACACUCAUUACCACUUGCAGGCAACAUCGACAAUAUUUGUUGUCCAAUAACUCACAGCUGACCGAAUCCCAGAUCUUUCAAUUACAAGAUGAACAAUUUGCCACAUGGUUCAGAACACAUGUAAGCACUAUCACAAACUCAUUCUCACUUGCAAAAUUAUUGUAUGCAUGUCAUUACGUGAUUCUCGUUUAGUGUUCAUUGAUGUAUAUUAUAUACAAGGUUUAUCAAAUGAGAAGAAGUGCUGCUAAGUCAUUGUCUUCACCAAGCCUGGGCACUGAAAGAAAAGUUAAGUGCUACAACGGGUAUUUUGUCAAUGGAUAUGUUUUCCAUACUGAAGAAUACGGGCAUGAAAGAAAGACAUAUAACAACGGUGUUUGUGUUAAGGGAUCGAGUAGUAGUGAGUUAAAAGUUGACUACUAUGGUAGAUUAGAAGAGGUCGUCGAACUGCAAUAUCAUAACGAGCAGAAUAGAGUGUUUUUAUUCAAAUGCUAUUGGUAUGACACGACUGACAGAGGAAUCAGAGUUGAUCCGCACUAUGGUCUGGUCGAAAUCAACUCAAAAGCUAGACUCCGCAACGUAAAUGAUGUCUUUGUUUUCGCAAAGCAAUGUCAACAAGUUUAUUACACAUACACCCCUUCUUUUAGAAAGGAUCGAUCAAGAGUGGAUUGGUUGUCUGUUUUAAAAACAAAACCCAGGGGUCGUGUCGAGCUUGUUCAGGAUGAGAACGAAGACACAAGUGUGCAAGAUGAAGUCUUUCAAGUUAGUGAGGUGGUUGAACCAUAUCGAGUUGCUCCUUCGAUUGACUUAGAAGAAAAUUCAAAUUUUUGUGUUUUCGAUUAUAGUCUUAUUGAUGUUGAAGCAAAGGAGUUGAAUGUUGUUUUGAGCUCUAGCGGACAAGCAAAUGUCGAUGAAGAUGAUGAUAUCCAUAUUAAAGAUUGUUAUGAAGGUGAAGACUAUUCAAUUGAUGACGAAAAAGAAGAAAAUUCGGACUAACUAUCAGAAUGAAACCCUGUGUAAAACAUUGUUUUCAUGUAAUAUAUAUUAUGGAUGAUAUAUUUUGUAACAUGAAAUAUUUAUUUUAUAAGUUUAUGUAUUGUUUAAGCACUGUUGUUAUUGUUUUGUGCGAUGGACAGUUUAGCAUUUAAGUGUUUACAGGCAAUGUCACUAUCACCGACGUCCUUACCGACGACCACACGUCCGCCGACAUUUCACAGAGAGUUGAAAAAUAAUUACUUGAAAUGCCACUAUCACCGACAUCCAUACCGACGACAACACAUUCGUCGGCAUUUCACAGAGAGUUGAAAAAUAAUUACUUGAAAUGCUACUAUCCUCGACGUCCAUACCGACGACCAUACGUCCAUCGGUAUUUCACAGAGAGUUGAAAAAUAAUUACUUGAAAUGCCAAAAGCACCGAUGAAUUUUCAGACAGAUACCAAUCCGUCGGUAUGUUGUCGGCAGGUCACUAUUACCGACAAUAUCACCGACGGACUGUGCGAAUUCCAAAGGGCGGUGCAUUAAAUGCAUCUCUGACCGUGUCAUUUUGCCGACGGAAUUACCGAUGGACCGCGAAAAAUAUGGAGGGUAAUUAAAAACGUUGGUGCGAAAUUCAAAAUUUACUAACGGAUUUUCGAAACUUCACCGACGGAUUUUCGAAACUUCACCGACGGAUUUUCAAAACUUCAACGACGGAUUAAAUUAAAAUAAUAUUAUUUUUAAUUUCCGUCGGUGAAUCCGUCGGUAAAAAUGCGCUAUAAAUCCCUGCGACCGCCCCUUCAGUUUAUUUUUUCAUCUGCUCCGUUCUUCACCUUUCAGUUUUGAUUUUUUUCCUCUCAUUUUUUCAAGACUUUUACCUGCAAUCUCUAACUAGUUUUCUUCUAAAUCUUCAUCAAAUUAUAAGGUAUGUAUUUCCUCUAUUUCAUUUUACGUUAAAGUUUUUUUUUUUAGCUAUUCUUUUUUAUAUGUUUUUUGUUUUGGUGUAUUUUUAUAAUAUAGAUAAAGUCUUGAAAUAAACACAUUAUUAAGGUAAGCAUAUUUCAUUCCUAAAGUCUAUAGUUUUUUUCUUAAAAAAAAAUUAUUCAAUAUAUUUUAUUGUUGUAUUGGCAUAAUAAUUGAAUAAUUUAUUGAAUUGUAAUUGUUAAUGUUGAAUUUACCUUAGAAUAAGUAAUUGAAUAUGUUGGAAUAAUUAGUAAUUUUACUAUAUUAUUGCAUGAUUUGUGUUUAAUUAUUUGCAUAAAUUUUAAUUGUUAGUCUAGAGUUUUUUUUUUAAUUUAUUGAAUAUUUUUUAUUGUUUGUAUUUAUAUAAUGAUUGAAUAUGUUGUUGAAUUGUAAUUGUUAAUGUUGAAUAAUUAACCUUAGAAUAAGUAAUUGAAUAUGUUGGAAUAAUUAGUAAUUUUACUACAUUAUUGCAUGAUUUGUGUUUAAUUAUUUGCAUUAAUUUUAAUUGUUAGUCUACAGUUUUUUUUGAAUUUAUUGAAUAUUUUUUAUUGUUUGUAUUUAUAUAAUGAUUGAAUAUGUUGUUGAAUUGUAAUUGUUAAUUUUGAAUUUACCUUAGAAUAAGUAAUUGAAUAUGUUGGAAUAAUUAGUAAUUUUACUACAUUAUUGCAUGAUUUGUGUUUAAUUAUUUGUAUUAAUUUUAAUUGUUAGUCUAGAGUUUUUUUUUGAAUAUUUUGAAUAUUUUUUAUUGUUUGUAUUUAUAUAAUGAUUGAAUAUGUUGUUAAUGUUGAAUUUACCUUGUAAUUAGUAUGAAUGUUAUAUGUAUAGAUGUUAUGUUAUAUACAAUAUUAGUAUAGAUGGAGUCAAUUGGUUGUGGCUUUUGUCAAUAUUUGCAGGUUUGUGGAUUUGGGUAGUAUCCAGUAUAUGGGAGGUGCUGUCGAAUUUUUUUUAACAUUCGAAUUUAAUUAUAUAUUUAUUCGUAUACAAUUGUGUAGAUGCGUAGAACGAAAACCACAGCUUGUCGCUCACGUAUGGUCGCAGAUAGUUCUUCUAGCAGUGAGGAUGACGUAUCCUUAGGUGCCUCUCAAGAAGAGGCACCUACGCCACCUGCACCAUCAACCGAUGCUGCCUCUUCCAGCGCGGGUUCACAGCGGAAUCAAUUCACCCGCAAGUACGAGGCACAGUGAAAGGACGACCUUUCAAUGUAAGUUUGUUAAGGUUUUAAUUUUUUUCUUUUAAAUUAUAACAUAAUUUAUGAACAACUUAUCAAUAUUUCAUUAAUUUAAUUUAUUUUCAGGUUCACAAACAUUGAGGCCGCCCGAGUAAUAUCAUCGGCGUUUAAAUCGUCGAUGAAGAUUCCAUUAUUUCAAUGGAGUCAGGUAUCCAGACAUCCUGAAUGGAUACCUCAAAUCAAUGCAUGGUUUGACAGAUUUGAGGUUGGUGUUAAUUUCUAAUUUCCAACAUAUUUCUAAUAAAUUAUUAAUAUAAUUGUAAAUAAAUUAUUAUUUUUAUUUAAAAUUAAUUAUUUAUACACAGGAUAAAUUCGACUGGGACAGUGCGCAAGGCACUGUUGUGAGGAGGGUGUGGGAAAAUCACGCGGCAACUAGGUAACAUUGAAAACAAUAAAAGAUUUUUUUUAGACAAAAAUUUAUGUUUCAAAAUGUAAUUUCUUGCUUUGGAAGUAGGUUGCGUGAUUUUUGGUAUGAAACACAAAAAAAGGCAAAACAAACAGCGAGAGAUAGGGGUCUCCAAGGUUGGAACGACAUGGCUGUUUGGAGGGAUUUCAAAGCGAUAUACAUCCCGGAAGAUAUAUGGCCGCGCUAUCUUGAGCACGUGACGUCUGAGUGGUUCACACGAUGCUCACAGUCCGGUGUUGGCAACCGGAAUCGACCAAUUCAUUGCUCGGUGACAAUGCACACCGGCGGCUCCGUUCUGUUUGCUGCACAUGCGAAACGGAUGGUAAUAUUAAUUUAAAUGAAAUAUAUCGUUAAAUUAAUUUGUUGUUAAUUAAUCUUUUUUCAUUAUAGGCUAUGUCUCUUGGACGUGAGCCGAGUCCGAUGGAGCUGUUUAUUGAGGCGCACGUGCGGAGUCAAGACCGCCAAAAGGGGGCGCAACAGUUCGUUGACAACCGUGCUCAACACUUCGUGGUAUGUUUGUUCAACCAUUUUAUUUUGUAAGUUAUUAUUUUUAUUGAAUUGAAUAUGAUGAUUAUUUUUUUCAUUUUCAGGAGACCUAUAAUAGCUGGUUGAGGGAGAGAUAUGGGGACGAUCCUUUGACCCAUCCGGAAUUCGAUCCGGAUUUGUGGAUGGAGGUUGGAUCGUCCGGUGGACCCGAUAAAAAUCGGGUUUACGGGCUCUCCAACACUAUGACCGAGAACUUGCGGGCGGCCCGUAGUGUUUCAACUGUUGGGAGCUCCCAAUCAGUAUCAAGCAUGAAAUUUAAGGAGUUCGUGGCCUUGCAGCAACACACAGCUCAGCUCACCGAAAAAUACGACCACCUAUCAGUGGAGUAUGCACAACUCAAAGCGAAUCAUGAACAGCUUCGCGAAAUGGUCAUGAACAUGGCAUCACAGUGUGGUGAUACAUGUGCGCCUCAUCCUUUUUGGCCGUAUAACAACCAGCCUCCUCCUCCUCCAGCUCCACCUUUAUAUUAAUUUGUAAUAAAUAUUAUUUACCUUUAAUAGUUCAUUUAAUAUUUUUUUUGAAACACAUUCAGUUUGUAAUGAAUAUUAUUUAUCUUUAUUUUUUUAUGUUUUUGAUGUUUAAUAAAAAAUUUAUUUGCAUAAUUGGUUUUUAUUACCAUUAAUUUAUAUAAUUUUAUAUUAUGUAUUCUAAAUAAUUUUUUAAAAACAUAUUUAAAAAUGAUCACAGAGGAUUUUACCGACGGAAUAUUUUCCGUCGGCAUUUGACAGUAGCUGCCACAGUCACCAACGAAUUUACAGACAUAUAUAUUCGGUAGGUAUUUUACACACUCACCGGCAACGUUACCGAAUGUAUCCAUCGGUAUUUGACAGUACCUGCCACAAUGACCGACGAAUGUACAGACGGAUAUCUUCGGUCGGUAUUUCACACACUCACCGACAACUUUACUGACGAUAUGUACCCAUCGGUAUGUCACACUAUCACCGAUGGGCUAAAUCCGUCGGUAUAUUUUAAGCAGGAAACUUUUUUUUCUGCGCGCAAUUUCCGUUUGUAAAACCAUCGGCAAAUGUUUUUUUUAUGUUGCUGACCGAUAUAGCGACGGACGGUGGUAUUACCGACGAAAGGAAAGCCGACGGACGUAUUCCGUCGGUGAAGACAUCGGUAAAUAAAUUACCAACGAACUCUUAAUCACAUACCGACGAAAUUGUCGUCGGUAAAACUGUGAAAUCUUGUAGUGUGAUAAAGAACCCGAGAGUACUGGAAAAGGCACAAAAAGAAGGGAGACAAGUCUUCAAUGAUAUCUUGGAACGAUUCCUGACGAAACAAGCCUUCAUGAUUCAAAAUUCUUGAAGUUGAUUAUUAAAGAAACUCUAAGAUUACAUCCUCCUGCACCAUUGAUGAUUCCAAUAGAGUGUAGAAAGAGAUAUAAUGUUAAUGGAUACGACACCCACGUCAAAAGUAAAGUAUUGAUUAAUGCAUGGGCAAUUGGAAGAGAUCCCAAUUAUUGGAAUGAACUUGAGAGAUUCUAUCCAGAGAGAUUCAUCAAUGUUUCGACUGAUUUUAAGGGUAUCGACUUUGAAUUCAUCCCAUUUGGUGCUGGAAAGAGGAUGUGUCCUGGCAAGUUGUUUGCUAUGAUACGUGAGUUAUCGUAAUUUAAUUUUGGUUUAUCUAAAAUUAUUUUUAUUUUUUUAUUUUUUAUUCAAAAAAUCCCAAAAAAUCAGAAAUUUAAAAUUUUAGAAAAUAUUUUUAAGACAUGAGGAGAUAAAUCUUUGAGUUACAAAAGAUAAAAAUGCUAGAAGAAUAGCCAGAUUGAGCUAUGCUGACAAGAGGGACUGAAAAAAAUACUUAAUCAGAGAUUCAAUUAAAGAAAAAUCAAGUUUGGGGUAUUAAUUCAAAUCAAUUCGUAAAGAUUGAAAGAUUAGAGAUAUAAUUAGAGCUUUAAAAGGUUAAAUUGAUACAAUCAUGAGUGCAAUUGCUGGAAAUCUAAAGUUUGAAGGCUAAUUAAGCAUAAUUUGAAGAAUUCUAAAACCAAUGAUCAAAGUGAAAGAGACGUGUGUAUUUAGGGACUGAGAUUGAUUAAAAUUCAAGGGUAAAUUUAAAAAAAUUGAAAUUUUGAAGCUCAAUUAAUAAUAAAAUUAAAAAUAUCCAAAACCAAAAACUAUAUUCUAAAAUAUACCGAAUAUUGAACGCCAAAAUUAACAUGACCAGAGAUUUAAUAAAAAAAACAUGAUUUUUAAGUUAUCAGCAUAAUAUUACUCGAUAAAUUUAUAUCAUACGUUUUUGUUAUUAGUUUUUUUAUACAGUUGAUCACUAGAUUGUGAUAGUGAUUAUACCAUCCCAAAUUAAUUGUUGCAUGGAAAAGUCUAUAAAAGGAGGGUCGGGGUGUGUAUGCAUCAUGCUAAUAAUUUCCAGUUCCAACUUCCAAGGCUAGUGACCUCACAUGAACAUGCAACUACCUUGAGUCGGCUGUCAAACCGAUCGACGCAGGGCCCAGAUAAAAUAAAAUCUUAAUUCCUUGAUCAAGUCCUAUAUAUUUUUGUCAUCAAAGGACCAAAAAAAAUGAUAAGGGAUAUUGAUAUUUAAUAUUAGGGGUGAGCAAAAAAACCGAGAAACCGAAUAAACCGAGAAAACCGAGAAAAAAAUAACCGAAAAAACCGAACCGAAAAAAAAAACCGAUUAAACCGAUUAAAUUUUUUACAAAAAAUUUCGGUUCGGUUCGGUUCCGGUUCCAGAAACCUGAAACCGAAAAAACCCCAACCGAACCGAACCGGUUCGGUUUAAGGGGUACUAUAAAUACAAAAAAAAAUCGCGUUAUUUUUCUUAACCCUAGCAUCCAUACUCCUGCUCCAGCCGUCCUUCUCCUUGCUCCUGACUCCUGAGCCGCUCCCUCAACUCACAAUUCACAAUUUCACAUCUGUGACAAAAUCAAUCCAUCUUCUGAUCUUCAUCUACUGGACCACAGCCAGCCACAUCUCUUUCCCAGCAUAUUCAUCUUCAAAGUUCAAACGCCAGUCAGCCACAUCCCUCUCCCACCGGCCACCAUCUUCAUCUUCAAACCCCAGUAAGUCACAUCCCUCUCUCACACGGUCACACCCGAUCUUGAAUCGCAGGACACACACCACACCGGCUACAAGCCUGAAAGAUGGCUCAAUGAGGAUGGCGUGCUUCAGCAAGAAAGCCCUUUCAAGUUUACAGCUUUCCAGGUUAGUGAAAAUAAAGAUCUGUCUAAUUCACUUGAUUAACAUUCAAAUAAAUUUUCUGCUGCCUUUGCUGUGGAAAUCAUUAAGAUCUAUUUUCAGUGCUUGCUCAGCUUAACUUUAUGGACUCCCAUCUCGUUGACCAAAUGACUAAAAUCAGGCUUUCUGCUGGUUAACAGGCAGGGCCACGGAUAUGUCUUGGGAAGGAAUUUGCUUAUAGGCAGAUGAAGAUCUUCGCGGCUGUCUUAUUGGGCAGUUUUAUUUUUAAACUCGUUGAGUCCAACUUUAGAUCCAGUCAGGCAGUCACCUCCCUCUCUCACAUCCGACCUUGAAUCAUGUCACAACAGGUAUGGUUUCUUUUUUCUGUCAAUCUCUGUUUUUUUUUUUUUGAACAUAUGCUCUGUGAUUCUGUUUAUUAUGAGCUUGAUGUUAUUACAUCAGGGAGAAAAAUAGGAAAAAACAGUUUCCCCGAGAGGCAUUUGUUUUAAAUAUCAUUGCUAAUCCAUUAUUAUGGUAUGUUGUUACUGUGUGCUAAAAAAACAAAGAAUUAUGUUUAUUAUCUGUGUUAAAAAAAGAGGGGGGGUUCGGUGGAUUGUAAUUUAUCAAUUCUGAAAACUAAGUUUUUUUUAUUUUAUGAAAAGAGAAUAAUGUGUAUAUAUAUAUAUAUGCUGCUGGGUUGAAAUUACAAAAUACAAUAUAUGCUGCUGUGUUCUAUAUAUAUAUAUAUAUAUAUAUAUAUUUUGUAUUGUAUUAUUGUCUAUUGAAAUUACAAAAUACAAUCUCAGCACCCAGUAGCAUAAUUUUUUUACAACAUAUCAACCAAAAUAAAAGAACUUAACUUGUGAAAAAAUAAUCUUUAAAAGUACAGUUGAACUUAUGCAUGUCAUACUAUUGUUAAUCUAUUAUAAAUUAUUGGUUUUUAACAUGUUUUCAUUAUGUAAUAACAGAUGGAAACUACUCAAAUUCAAAAUGCUUCAUCCAUGGGCACUACUCCAACAUCAACUACUUCUCCAACUUCAAAACCUAACGCAGAAUCAACCAAUGCAGGGUCCACCACAGAUACAAAAGGUAAACAACCUCAAGUCCUUACAUCUAGGAAAAGAAAUGCUGAUGAUAAAAAGAAGUCACAAAUUUGGGAUCACUUUACAAAACUUGAUGUUGAUCCUAAAGCCCCUAGAGCUGAAUGUAAUUAUUGUGGAAAACAUUAUGCAUGUCAUACUAUUGUUAAUGGCACAAGUAAUAUGUGGAGUCAUUUAAAAGUGUGCAAGAAGUUCCCUUUUGUGGUUGAUAAGAAACAAAAGGUUUUGGUAUUAGAACCUAAGAUAGAGAAGGGUGAAUUGGGAGAACAAAAUGUGGGAAGUCUCAAGGCAAUAGGUUAUAAUUAUGAUGAAUGUAGACAAGCACUAGCAAAGAUGGUUAUAAUUGAUGAGUUGCCUUUUAAUUUUGUGGAGGGUCGGGGAUUUAAAUUGUUUGCUAGGACUAUGCAACCUAGAUUUGACAUUCCUUCUCGUUUUACAAUUAUGAGAGAUUGUUUGAAACUUUAUUUUGAAGAGAAGGAUAGAUUGAGGACAGCUCUUAGGGGUCAACGAUUGUGCUUGACAACAGAUACAUGGACAUCAAUCCAAAAUAUUAACUAUAUGUGUUUAACAGCUCAUUGGAUUGAUAAUGACUGGAAUUUGCAUAAAAGAAUUCUUAAUUUUUGUCAAGUUUCCAAUCAUAUGGGUGAGACAAUUGGCCAAGUUAUUGAGAAUUGUUUGUUGGAGUGGGGGAUUGAUAAACUGUUGACUAUUACAUUAGACAAUGCAAGCUCUAAUAAUGUGACCAUUUCAUAUUUAAAGAAUGUGAUGAAAGAUUGGCCAACUAAUAUAUUGUCAAAUGAGCACUUGCAUGUUAGAUGUUGUGCACACAUUGUAAACCUCAUUGUAUGUGAUGGCUUGAAAGAGAUUAAUGAUUCAGUUGUUAAGAUUCGAAAUGCCAUUAGAUUUGUGAGAUCUUCACCAUCGAGGCAUCUUGCAUUUAAGAAGUGUGCUGAAAAGUUGCAUAUAGAGUGUAAGAAAUCAUUGUGUUUAGAUGUUGCAACUCGAUGGAAUUCAACUUAUCUUAUGCUAGAAGCUGCUGAAAAGUUUGAAAAGGUGUUUGUGAGGUUAGGUGAAAAAGAACUUAGGUAUAUAAGUUACUUUUUGGAGGUUGAUUCAAAGGGGAAAAAAAAAAAACAUAGGGCCACCUGGUUUGGAGGAUUGGGAAAAUGCAAGAACUUUGGUUAAGUUCUUAAAGAUCUUUUAUAUGGUUACAUUGAGAUUUUCUGGCUCAUUGCAUGUCACAUCAAAUUCUUUCUUCAAUGAAUUGAUUUACAUGCAUACAAACUUGUUGCAAUUGUGUAAAAAUAAAGAUAGUAUUUUAAAUGGAAUGAACGGACAAUGGGAACAUCUGGCCGAUCGACCCCAGUCCCACNNNNNNNNNNNNNNNNNNNNNNNNNNNNNNNNNNNNNNNNNNNNNNNNNNNNNNNNNNNNNNNNNNNNNNNNNNNNNNNNNNNNNNNNNNNNNNNNNNNNUUUUGUUUUAGUGAUUUGUAUGAUUAUGACAAAGCACAAUUGCUAACAACUAAGGUGAAAGAUACUUUGGUGAACUUAUAUGAGUUUUAUUUGAAAAUUGAUGAAGUGGUGGAUAAUAAUAGGCAUAAACAGGAUGUUAAUGCUAUUGAUAAUGUGGAGGUAGAUGUUAACACUUUGGCUCGAUUCAAAAGACAUUUGCUAGAGGUGGAUAGUGUGGAAAAUAAAAAUGAGGUUGAGAGGUAUUUGAUUGAAGGUUGUGAGGAUCCUGAUGAUGAUAAGUUAGAUAUUUUGGAUUGGUGGAAAAGUAAUGCUUUGAAAUAUAAGACACUUUCAAAGGUUGCACAACAUGUUCUGGCUAUUCCUAUAUCCACAGUGGCUUCUGAAUCAGCAUUUAGCACAGAUGGUCGUGUGCUUGAUCAAUUUCGAAGUUCUCUCUCUCCAGCAACUGUUCAAGCACUCAUUUGUUGUCAAAAUUGGUUGCAUCAUGGAUCAAUUCCAACUGAUAUUAGAAGCUUGAUAAAUGAUCUUGAAACCUACGAAAACCUUGAGUCAGGUAAUUGUUUUUUGAAAUUUGCACCUUUUAUUUUGUUAUUUAUUAAUUAAAUUGUUUGCAAUCAUCUAACAUGUCUAAUUUUUUAUUUUGUAGAAUUUGGUGGAAAGUUACAUUUAGUAACGGAUGAUAAUUAGUUCAAAAGUUACUUUGAUGGUAAAAUACUACUAUUUAUUUUUACAUAUUCUAAUUUAUUUUAUCAUGUUAUAAUUUUAGAUCUUGAUUUUCAGGUUUUGAUGUCAAUGGUAUUACGGAAUCAAAGUGCAAUGUUCUUGUUAUCUUGUUGUGCUUUUUGAUUGAGAUGAUGUGCACAAUGAAGAUUUAUAUUUUUUGCAUGAAGUAUUUUAUUUUUUAUGGCAAUGUUAUUUGUUGUUUUUUUAAACCCAUUUUGAAGGCAAUGCUUUGUAAUUUUAAUUUUAAUUUGGUGUGUGUGUUAUUUAAAUUUUGAUGCAUGAGGAGUCCAAACUCCAAAAUAUAAAUAUUAGAAAGAUGUGCAACAUAUUAAACAUAAUAUUAGCACUAAUAAUUUAAUAUAAAUGAAUAUUUAGUGAAAAAAAAUAUUAAAUAUAUUAUAGAAUUUUGUAACAAAAUUAGAUGAUAUUUACAUUAAUUACAAGCCCAUCAGAAAGCCCAUUAAAAAGCCCAAAAAAGCCCAAAAAAGCCCAAAAAGGCCCAAAAAAACAAUAAUACAGGUUUUCCAGUUUUUCUGAUAAAAAAACCGAACCGAACCGAAACCGGUCGGUUUGAACCGGUUCCGGUUCGGGUCCGGUUUGAAUUUUUAAGUUUUUCAAAAUUUGAUUUUGGUUAGUUUUUUAGGUAAAAACCGAACCGAACCGAAUUUGCUCACCCCUAGUUUUCAGUAUGAGACAAUGAAAGAGAAAAGUAUAAAUGGUAACAAGUCCUCUGAUGACAAAAGAGUUGAGUUUUCCGUAUGAGACAAUGAAAGAGAAAAGUAUAAAUGGUAACAAGUCCUCUGAUGACAAAAGAGUUGAGUUUUCCGUAUGAGACAAAUGAAACAAAUGAAAGAAAAAACACUCUCUCUCUCUCUAUCUCUCUCACUCUCUCUCUCUCUCACACACACUAGUAUAUUUUUCUAUGAUAGGCUGUGGAGUGUGGAUCAUAUUAUUUCUUUUAAAAUUAAAAAAAAAUGUUUAGUAAUAUUAUUAAAUCGAAUGAUUUUAAAACCUGCCAACCAGAGUCCUUAUCUAGUUUAAGUUUUGAAUUGAAUUAUGGAAACUAACCCAAAGUCAAUCAUUCAAUUUAAUGGAUUCAAAAAUAAUUUGAAUAAGUGAUAAAAAUAUAACAUAACUUUUAAAAAAUAUUUUAAAACAAAAAUUGUUUUUUAAUAUUGUGACAAUACCAGAUUGAAUCGACCCCUGCAAUCUGGGUCAUAAACUUCAAUGAGUUUAAUAACUUUGUUAUUUUUAUAAAUUAUUUUUAUUUAAUUUUAUGAUAAAUUAGAUACUUUUAAAAUUAUUCAUCAACUCUAAAAAAAAAUAUUUAUUUAAAAUCAUAAUAACUCUCUAUAUAUAAAAAAAACUAUAAAUUCUAUUUCUCAAUCAAUUUAGAAAAAUUCUAGUUCACAAAGUAAAAGAGACAUAUGUAUUCAAUUACUGUAAUCGAUUAAAAAUCAAGGAUAAAUUUAAAGAAAUUAGAAUUUUAAAGCUUAAUCAAUAAUGAAAUUAAAAAUAUUCAAAAUCAAGAACUAUAUUGUAAAAGAUAUCAAAUAUCAAAUGCUAAAAUUAACAUGAACAGGGAUUUAAUAAAAAAAAUCUUGAAUAAUCAAUUCAAAUUGUCCGAAUUCAAUGAAAAUAGAAGGAGCCUAUGCACCUUCCCCACCUUACAUAAAUAAAAGGAACCCAUUCCACCAAAUAGGGGGAGAGGACAGAACUGAAAAACCCACACCCACACACUGCGUUCGCAAACAGUCCAGCCAAAACCAUAGGGAAUUCCCUUGUCCCACUUUUCCUCCCCUGUUCCAGCAAAAAACACCAUUUCUCCUCCCCUACAGCACCUAGUACACCACACGAGAACACCACCAGCAUCCUAUUCCAGCCAAAAACAACAAUCAGAGACCCUGUCACUAAUUAAUAUUUGUUUUUCAGAAUAGAGCAAAUGUUGAUCUCCCUCCCCGUUUUUUUAACCAUCCUUCUCGUUAUCUCCAUUUUAUGGACAUGGACGAAAUUUAUCAAAAGCAACAAGUCAAGUUCAAAUCCACCUCCUGGGCCAUGGAAAUUACCCUUUAUUGGAAACCUUCACCAGCUAGUUCACCCUCUGCCCCAUCAUCGCCUAAGGGACUUGGCCAAGAAAUUUGGACCUGUCAUGCAACUUCAAGUUGGUGAAGUUUCCACUGUCAUUAUUUCUUCAUCAGAAGCAGCGAAAGAAGUGAUGAAAACCCAUGAAAUCAACUUUGUUGAAAGACCUCAUCUCCUAGCUGCAAGCGUCCUGUUCUACAACCGUAAAGACAUUGCAUUUGCGCCGUAUGGCGAAUAUUGGAGACAACUAAGAAAAAUCUCCAUAUUAGAGCUUCUUUCGGCAAAACGUGUACGAUCAUUCAAAUCUAUCAGGGAAGAAGAGGUAUCUAAUUUUAUUGCUUCCAUUUAUUCAAAAGAGGGGUCUCCAAUCAACCUUAGUAGGAUGAUAUUUUCUUUAGAAAAUAGCAUCACUGCGAGAACAAGCAUUGGUAACAAAUGCAAAAACCACGAAGGUUUCUUACCAAUUGUUGAGGAAUUGGCGGAGGCACUUGGAGGUUUGAAUAUGAUAGAUAUGUUCCCUUCCUCCAAAUUUCUUUACAUGGUCAGUCGGUUCAGGUCUAGACUCGAAAGGAUGCACAGAGAAGCAGAUGAGAUACUUGAAAGCAUCAUCUCCGAGCGUAGAGCCAACUCCGCUUUAGCGUCAAAGAUGGGCAAGAACGAAGAGGAUGAUCUUCUUGGUGUUCUUUUGAAUCUUCAAGACCAUGGAAACCUUGAAUUCCAAUUAACAACAAGCACUAUCAAAGCAGUCAUCCUGGUUAGUAUAUAUUUUCGCUUUGUUACAAGCACUAAUUAAUCAGUUUUUUUAUAAAAAAAAUAUAACCAUCCACAAACUUGAUGAAAUGAAAUCAUAUAUAUAUAUUUAAAUGCAAACCAACGGUCUAUACUCUAUAUUUUUACUUACAUCAUGUUACUCCUCCUAACUGGAAGUGAACUCAAUCCUAUCUAAUAUGUCAUUCUUUACUUAAUUACCUUUCAGGAAAUGUUCAGUGGUGGAGGUGACACUUCGUCAACAGCUUUAGAAUGGGCAAUGUCAGAAUUGAUAAAGAACCCGAGAGUCAUGGAAAAGGCACAAAAAGAAGUGAGACAAGUCUUCAAUGAUCUUGGAACUAUUCCUGACGAAACAAGCCUUCAUGAUUUAAAAUUCUUGAAGUUGAUUAUCAAAGAAACUCUAAGAUUACAUCCUCCUGUACCAUUGAUUCCAAGAGAGUGCAGGAAGAGAUGUGAUGUUAAUGGAUACGACAUCCACGUCAAAAGUAAAGUAUUGAUUAAUGCAUGGGCAAUUGGAAGAGAUCCAAAUUGUUGGAAUGAACCUGAGAGAUUCUAUCCAGAGAGAUUCAUGAAUGUUUCGACUGAUUUUAAGGGUAGCGACUUUGAAUUCAUCCCAUUUGGUGCUGGAAAGAGGAUGUGUCCUGGCAUGUUGUUUGCUACAGCCAACACUGAGUUUCCACUUGCGCAGAUGUUAUACCAUUUUGACUGGAAACCUGCUGGUGGAUUGAAGCCUGAAAAUCUCGACAUGACUGAGUCUUUUGGUGGCGCAGUUAAAAGAAAACAAGAUCUUAAGUUGAUUCCCAUUUCAUAUCGUUCACUCGUGGGAUAAAAAUUGUUACAAUAUGUUAUGAUAUGAAAUAAAAGUUUGUAUGAUAUGUGUUAUGUUAUGAAAUAAAAGUUGUCUCAAUGAAAAAAUUGUUUAGAACUGAUAGAAUUUCCUUCCGAUGUAAUGUAAUUUUUUAUUGGAGUGAAUUAAAAUUUUUAAACCAGGAGUUAUGUCGAUUAAAAUAUUCUAUUUGAAAUAAAAUUGUAUCCUUUUAAAUAAUAAAGUUGUGUCCUUUUGUUUUAAAAACAAUGCUAAAAUUUAACUGUCAAAAUUAUCUUGUUAGAAGACCCAUUAAUAAACACAUAAUUAAAACUUGAAGAAAAAUAAUAAAAUACAUCACAAUGAGCUCUUAUGAAAUAAUACGGAGAAUAAAUCUUGAUAAAAUGACAUUCGAGAUGACGAGGAUCACACCUAUGGAUAAAAGGAACCAUUAGAAGUGAAUAAAUCUCUAAAAAGUUUCAAGGCAGCCAUAAUUAUGAAAAGCGUGUGAAGCAAAAUGCUAAAGAGGCAUGCUUAAAAAAGAGAAGUCAAAGUCAAAAGGACACACUAUCAAGGCAAAUUCAAAAAACAAAAAGAGCAAUCAUGCAACAUGAUUGAAAAGUUCAAAAAUGUUAUGAAGUGAUCUAGUUCAUCUAAACCCUUUAAACACAUUUUGAGCUUAAGAAAUCCUUUCUUUUCAUAGUUAACAUUGCGUGUCUUUAAAAUUCCUUUCUAAUCAAAAGUCAAACUUUUAGGAAAAAUAAUACAAAUAAUACAAAGAAUUAUUUGAAAGUGGAUCAUGAUCUUAUUCAAUAUUAUCAUGAUCCUAAAAUGGUUGUUCAACUCUUAAAAGCCUUCUUCAUCAAAAAAGAAAUCGCACACAUCAAAAUGUGCUAAGGCAGAUUACCAACCUUGAACACUUUCUCUCUGAAAAAUCAGAACACCUCAAGAGGCAUCACAAGAACUUUUCCAAAAGAAUCAAUCUUUACUUCUUCAUAAAACUUUAAAAGGCAUGUUUUGGUUGUUAACCAUCCAUUAAAAGAUAAAUGUUGAAUAACAAACCACAAAAACUUGAAGAGUUAAGUUCAUGAUGACAAUGAUCAUCAAAUAAUCAAAAUGUAGAUGGUAAGCCCAAAAGGUCUCUACCAAAAAUAAGUGAUUCUAUGUUUUUUGACCUAUAAACAACAUUUGAGUCUAGUAAUUAUCCAUUCUAUUUUAGUCGUGAACCAUAGCUUACAUUACAUGUCUUUAAAAGUCUUUUCUGAUCAAUAACUACUUGUUUUUGUUGAAAGUUGUUAACUUUUUUGAAGAGAAGAAAGACCAUGACCUGAAUAUGUACUGAGACUUACUUGGUCAUUAACUUCAGGACCUGUGGAAUUAGUCAGAGAUACAUACAAACUGGCUCAGACAUCUAUGUUAAUCUAAAAAGAUUGUAACAUUUUGAUAUGAUAAGCUAUACUCUGAAAUAAAGAACUGAUUAUAACACUAUUUUAAAAUCUUUCUUCUUAGUUUUGGUUAGCUGAAGGCAUAAAUGCCUUGCUUUCGGAAGUGGUUUCCAAAUCUAACUUCAAGAAAACACACAUUUGCAUGCUAAGAGUUAGUCAUGGAUAUCAAUGAUAUCAUGCUUCGUUGGUGGGUAAAUAUUUAUAGAAUCCACCAUGGUAAAAGAGAUCUUUAAAAUAAUUUCUUCAUGGAUAACUAAUUUAAAGAGAUUGAUUAAGCAAUUAAUGAAGUAUGCUAUAUUUUUGAACUUUAUGAGUUCGUUUUUCUAAUUUUUUUUUAUUACACAGGAUUAAUAUAGAGUUAUGUUUUUUAAAAUUGUCUUGUUUUUAAGAUUCAGUUGACAUGCUAGAUAGUCCAGAAAUAUCCCUUAUCAUUAAAUAUAAAUAAAAAAAAUUGAUCUUAUCCGCUACAGGCAAAUAAAAUCUUAAUAACCUUAUACAAAAGUUACCACAUUAUCUAUAAGCUUCAAUUUCAUUAAUUAAUGCAAUCAAAUCAAGACGUUGGGGAAUAAACCAUAGGGAACGAAAAGAACAGAGGACGAACGAAGAGAAGAGAGAAACAAAAGUUGAGAUCAUAGUAUUCCUGCAGCGCGCCCUCACUUCGUCUUCAGUAGCAGCUCCAGGUCUCCAUCUUCAGUAGCAACUGCACUGCACCAGAAACAGGACCAGGGAGCGCACACAACAGAGACAGAACACACAGAAGACAGAGAGACUUGUGACCGUCCCCCAGCAAAAAAGGGAACUUCAACUUCCCCUCGCCGCAGGUUGGAUGAUCCAACCAACCAAAAACGAACACAGAGAAACCAGGACGACAGAGAGAGAAGAAUAAAAAAACGGACAGGAAGAAAAACACGGAAAAAAAAACGCAAACAGAGAGAAAACCAGAAGAAAAGGAAGAACCACAUAGAGAACAAAACACAUACAGACACGAAGAAACAAACCCAGAAAAAAAAUUGAAAAACCAGAGAGAACGAACACGAGAGGAAGACAGACGAGCAGAAGGAAAGAACAUAAACAAUUAAUCGACAUCUUACUGAUCAUGUGAAUUUUUUUUUUUUAACGUAGUUGGCCGGGCCUACUUGUACACGUAUCGACUAAUUCCACGAGUUUUAAAAUUAACGACCAUGUAAGCUUUCAGUAGCCUUGAGAUAACUCAAACUCGUGAUAAUUGGAGAGCAAACUCAAGGUCUAAUCAGUUGAGCUACCCCUCAAGGUUGUUCAUGUGAAUUUUAAUUCACUGGUAACUGUACAUGCACGUGUGAACUAGUUCACGCGUGCCUCCUACGGGUUGGUCAGACCUAGCCUCAAAAAAAGGAGAAAAAGUUGAGGCCGGACUAGGCUGACCUCAACCCAGCCAGCCCAAUUUGUUUUGGACCAAAGAUGUGUUUGACAAAACAUACUCUUAUGUCUUAUAUCUUUUAUUACACUCUUUUUUAUUUUGAUAUAUAGUCAAACAGGCCUUUUCUGAUAUCAGAAAAUUCCAAAAAAAAAAUUUGGACCUUUUUUUAUUUAUUUGUAGGUCCCUCAUAUUAUUUUUUAUAUAUUUCACUAUAUAAUUGAUCUGUGAAUUUUUAUUAUAAAAUGUAAAUCCGGUAUACUAUAUUUUUUUUCUUUUAAAAAAAAUUAUUUUACUGGUUUAUUCACUAACGUCAAAGCCAGGAAUACCAUAUAUUUUUUUUAGCUAUGAAAUAUUUAUCAACGCUAAAGUUGAAAGUAUUUGUAGUUAAAUAUCAACUGAUACUAGAGUCAGAAAUACUACAAGCAUACUAUCGAUAAUAUAAUAUAACAAAUUUUUAAUAAUUUAAAAUAAAAACUGCAAUGAAGCAUUAAUAUCACGUUUAAGGAGUGAUAAAUGCUGUGAUGUUUUUUGUUCUAUUAUUGGUACCUCCUCCUCGAUCAAUAAUUCACUAUUAGGACAAAAGAGGUGACCUUUCUUUGUGUAUAUGCUAAUAUGUCCUCUUAUGACAAAAGAGAAAAGUACUUUAGGUACACUUCUUCGUUGCCCUUUCUCUCGAUCCCAAAUAUAUAUAUAUAAAAAGCAAGAGGUACCUCUUGUUUAAAAUGUGUCAAGUGAAAAAAGUUUGACCUCUUGUUUUUUAUAUAUCUCUCCCUUUCUAAAACAUAUUGCUUCGCAUGCGGAAAAAAUAAUAAAUGGUUAAAAUGUGUUAAGUGAUAAAAUAGUUAUAUAUAAGUUUUGAAUUAUUCUAUCAUGAAGUCACAAAAUCUAAAAUAUUUAAGAAUAAAACUAAUGUUAUAGAUAAUUGAUUAAUUUUUUAGUUGAGACAAUUUGAUUCAUUCUUAUUAGUUAAUAUAUCUGGUAGCUUGAUAUAAAAAACUCGAGUAGCUAAUAAGUGGUGUUUGGUAAAUUAAAGUAUCUGGUAUCUGGUAACUAUAAAAGAUCUCUUAUGAUGGAAGUGAGAACUCUUUGAUGCUUAAAUCAUUAAUUUUAUAGAGAGAGAAAGUGUAAUGAUGUUUUAAAGAGAUAAACUAUGAAAAUAUGUAUGUUGAAAGUGUUAAAAAUGAAGAGACUAUGAACCUUAAGUUUAAAUAUUCAUGGUGUAUUUAUAGUUCAUAAAUCUUGUAUUUUGUGGAUAUAAGAGACAGGAUUGUAAUUCUAUUUUUAUGAUAUUUUAAGUUAUAUUCUAUAUAAAAUAAUAAUUAUUGGAACAAUACAAAAUAAUGAGGUAACCACAUAAAAUCCCGAAAAAAUCCUCAAAAGAAAGGUUAGCUUAGGCAAUUUGCUUGUGCCCAUUAGAGGUAGAAAAAAAAAGGGUUCAAGGCGUGCUUUUUAGGACAAACCUAUGGAUUUGUGCUCCUCUCGUAUGGAGUCGAGUUUUUCCCUUAGAGGGUGUUUGGGAGUGUGGUAGUGGUUGCUUUUCAAAUAGCUUUUCGUGCCGAAAUACAUGCCAAUGAUGUUUUUUUAUUUUUUAAAAAUCAUUUUUGAUAUCAGCACAUCAAAACGAUCCAAAAGGUACAAACCGCACUUAAUUUUAGCAAAAAAAAAAAAAUUUAAAAUUCGCUGAAAAGCAGGUUGAACAGUAGAGCCAAACGCUCCCUUAGAGCGAGCCUAUGAAGUCAGGCUUCUUCUCUAGAAAGAGAUUACGUAGUCGAGCUCAUCUUCUAAGGCGAGACCAUGAAGUCAGACUCUUCCCCUAAGGUGAGCUCAUGGAGUGAGGAUCCUCACCUAAAAAGAGACCAGGAGUGGGGGCUCCUUCCUUUAGAAACUCAACACAUUUAACACUAUAUAUUUUCACCUUAGUGUUAAAAAAAUAUAUGGAAGGGAGCGUAAGCACCUUCCUCACCGCCUAUAAAUAAAAGCAACCCAUUCCAACAAAAAGGGGGAGAGGACAAAACUGAAAAACCCGCUCCCACACACUGCGUUUGCAAACCCUUCAGCCCAGGAACACUCUGUCCAACCAAAACCAGAGGGAAUUAAAGAAAGACUUAAUUUGAAGCAAAAUUUAAGGUUGAAUUCCAAUUUGACCAAAAUUAAAAGAAUUAAUUAUGUUCAAUGACUUAAUUAAACUUUUCAUGUAUUAGGAGGAUUCAAUAAGAGACUCAAUUAAAGAAAAAUAAAGUUUGGGGUAUUAAUUCAGAUCAAUUCGCAAAAAUUAGAAGAUUAGGGAUAUAAUUGGAGCUUUGGAAGGUUAAAUUAAUGCAAUCAUGGGUGCAAUUGCAGGAAAAUUAAAAUUUGAAGGCUAAUUAAGAGUAAAUUGAACAAUUCUAAAACUAAGGAUUAAAGUGAAAGAAACGUGCAUAUUCAGGGACUGUAAUUGAUUAAAAAUCAAGGAUAAAUUUAAAGAAAUUAGAAUUUUGAAGCUCAAUGAUAAUGACAUUAAAUAUAUUCAAAACCAAGAACUAUAUUGUAAAAGAUAAUGCAAAAAUUAACAUGACCAGGGAUUUAAUAAAAAAAUCUUGAAUAAUCAAUUCAAAUUGUCCGAAUUCAAUGAAAAUAGAAGGAGCCUAGGCACCUUCCCCACCUUCUAUAAAUAGGGGGAGAGGACAGAACUGAAAAACCCACACUCCAACCAAAACCAGAGGGAAUUCCCUUGUCCCACUUUUCCUCCCCUGUUCCAGCAAAAAACACCGUUUCUCCUCCCCUACAGCACCAAGUACACCACACGAGAACACCACCAGCAUCCUAUUCCAGCCAAAAACAACAAUCAGAGACUCUGUCACUAAUUAAUAUUUGUUUUUCAGAAUAGAGCAAAUGUUGCUCUCCCUCCCUGUUUUUUUAACCAUCCUUCUCGUUAUCUCCAUUUUAUGGACAUGGACGAAACUUAUCAAAAGCAACAAGUCAAGUUCAAAUCCACCUCCUGGGCCAUGGAAAUUACCCUUUAUUGGAAACCUUCACCAGCUAGUUCACCCUCUGCCCCAUCAUCGCCUAAGGGACUUGGCCAAGAAAUUUGGACCUGUCAUGCAACUUCAAGUUGGUGAAGUUUCCACUGUCAUUAUUUCUUCAUCAGAAGCGGCGAAAGAAGUGAUGUCAACUUUGUUGAAAGACCUCAUCUCCUAGCUGCAAGCGUCCUGUUCUACAACCGUAAAGACAUUGCAUUUGCACCGUAUGGCGAAUAUUGGAGACAACUAAGAAAAAUCUCCAUAUUAGAGCUUCUUUCUGCAAAACGUGUACGAUCAUUCAAAUCUAUUAGGGAAGAAGAGGUAUCUAAUUUGAUUACUUCCAUUCAUUCACAAGAGGGGUCUCCAAUCAACCUUAGUAGGAUGAUAUUUUCUUUAGAAAAUGGCAUCACUGCGAGAACAAGCAUUGGUAACAAAUGCAAAAACCAAGAAGCUUUCUUACCAAUUGUUGACGAAUUGACGGAGGCACUUCGUCACUGGAGGUUUUAAUAUGAUAGAUAUAUUCCCUUCCUCCAAAUUUAUUUACAUGGUCAGUCGGGUCAGGUCUAGACUCGAAAGGAUGCAUAGAGAAGCAGAUGAGAUACUUGAAAGCAUCAUCUCCGAGCGUAGAGCCAACUCCGCUUUAGCGUCAAAGAUGGACAAGAACGAAGAGGAUGAUCUUCUCGGUGUUCUUUUGAAUCUCCAAGACCAUGGAAACCUUGAAUUCCAAUUAACAACAAGCGCUAUCAAAGCUAUCAUCCUGGUUAGUAUAUAUUUUCGCUUUGUUACACGCACUAAUCAAUCAAUUUUUUUUCAAAAAAAUAUAACCAUCCACAAACUUGAUGAAAUGAAAUCAUAUAUAUAUAUAUGCAAACCAAUGGUCUAUACUCUAUAUUUGACUUACAUCAUGUUACUCUUAACUGGAAGUGAACUCAAUCCUAUCUAACAUGUCAUACUUAAUUACCUUUCAGGGAAUGUUCAGCGGUGGAGGUGACACUUCGUCAACAGCUUUAGAGUGGGCAAUGUCAGAAUUGGUAAAGAACCCGAGAGUAAUGGAAAAGGCACAAAAAGAAGUGAGACAAGUCUUCAAUGAUAUUGGAACUAUUCCUGACGAAGCAAGCCUUCAUGAUUUAAAAUUCUUGAAGUUGAUUAUCAAAGAAACUCUAAGAUUACAUCCUUCUGGACCAUUGAUUCCAAGAGAGUGUAGGAAGAGAUGUAAUGUUAAUGGAUACGACAUCCACGUCAAAAGUAAAGUAUUGAUUAACGCAUGGGCAAUUGGAAGAGAUCCUAAUUAUUGGAAUGAACCUGAGAGAUUCUAUCCAGACAGAUUCAUCAAUGUUUCGACUGAUUUUAAGGGUAGCGACUUCGAAUUCAUCCCAUUUGGUGCUGGAAAGAGGAUGUGCCCUGGCAUGUUGUUUGCUAUAGCCAACAUUGAGUUUCCACUUGCGCAGAUGUUAUACCAUUUUGACUGGAAACCUGCUGAUGGAUUGAAACCUGAAGAUCUUGACAUGACUGAGUCUCUUGGUGGCACAGUUAAGAGAAAACGAGAUCUUAAGUUAAUUCCCAUUUCAUAUCGUUCACUCGUGGGAUAAAAACUGCUAAAUUAUUUUAGCGCUAAAAUAUAUAUUAUGAAAUAAAAGUUGUCUCAACUAUGAUUUUUAAUAUUCAUCUUAUGAUAUAUGAUAUAAUUUGUCAGAACUUAAUUUUGUUUGGGUUCCUCAAAAUUAUCUGUAUUUUUUUAUUUUUCCUAUAAUUUUCUUAGAUAAUCAACUCGAAUUAGCCGAGGGAGCGAAUGCACCGUCACCACCUCUAUAAAUAAAAGGAACCCAUUCCAACAAAUAGGGGGAGACGACAGAAUUGAAAAACUCACACCCACACACUGCGUUUGCAAACCCUUCAGCCUAUAAACACUCAGUCCAACCAAAACCAGAGGGAAUUCCCUUGUCCCAGCCGUAAAAAAUCAUAAAAAAUACAAAGCACCACUUUUCCUCACCUAUUCCAUCCAAAAAUACCAUUUCUCCUCCCUUACAGCACCUAGUACACCACACAAGAACACCACCAGCAUCCUAUUCCAGCCAAGAACAACAAUCACAGACCCUGGUAGGAGCCAUCACAGCCACCGUUUCUUCUCUCCUGGCCUUCAUUACUCUACUAAACCCUUGUGAACUUAGCUUACAUUUCUAAAAUAUCAACAAAAAAAAUUUUGUUUAAAAAGAUAAUUUUUUUAUUUUUAUAUUUUAAAUUUAAAUUGACUAGACUUAACCUCUAAAACUAUAUUCCACUCUACUCGGGUGGACCAACUUUAAUGAUUAGAGAGACUAAUAGUUAGAAAACCCUUCAGCCCAGAAACACUCUGUCCAACCAAGGGAAUUCCCUUGUCCCAGCCGUUAAAAAAGAAUAAAAAAUACGAAGCACCACUUUUCCUCCCAUGUUCCAGCCAAAAAUACCAUUUCUCCACACGAGAAUACCACCAUUAUCCUAUUCCAGCCAAAAACAACAAUCAGAGACCCUGGUAGGAACAAACACAUUACUCCACUAAAGCUCUGCACCAGCAGCAGCAGCGAACUCCAACCGCUUGCCAGCAAGACUUAAACCGGUUGACCGGUGUCAGAAGAGUUACACCCCUAGCCAUAGCAACACCGAAGCAGUGAGCAGUAACAGACUCCACCGCGAGCAGCUGGCACCGCCUCUGUUGCAGCCGUGAGCAGCAUUAAUUUGAUUCAGUUGUGACCAAGUAGCAGAGGCUUCAAGUCUCAGCAGCCUUAUUUCUUUGUUUUCUCGUUGAAACAACUGUGAGCAUCAGCCUUGCUCCAGCCGUGAGCCUCAGUUUGUAUUCUAACCAAGAAUAUUGCUAGGUAUGAUGCUUUGUCCUUCAUGAGCACAUCGCAUUGAUAAUGUUAGCCCACCUUUGUGUUUUGUAUUCUGUUGAUCCAAGUUAUGAUAUGGCAGUAUGUGUAGGAUGUUAGGGUCGGAUGCUAUAUUUUCUUUGCAUAUGCAUCCCAUGAUCAUGGAUUUCUCUCAAUUAUAAGCUCAAGUUGCAGGCUUUUUAGUUGGUUUUCUUUUUCACCAUCAUGAACCCCUCAUCAUAUUUAUGAAAUGAACAUGCCUGCUUUGAUAUUAAAGUCAAAACAAUGAGGUUGAUGUCCAAGGAUUGUUGAUGUUGUGUUUUGCCUUUGCAUGUGAAAAUAUUUCCCUGCCAUUUAAAUUUUAGCUCUACAUGAACAGAGUUCCUGGACAUAGGCACUAUGGAAGUUCUUUAAAUCAUGUAUUUUCUUUUCUUGGAUAUUCACUGCAUUUUUUUUUUAGCUCACAUGUUUUUCAUUUUCUUUGAUUGAAGCCUGUAUAUAUUUGGGCUUGACUAGAAAUCUCAUUCCAUGCGACUGAACUGAGCCUUUAAAAUCUAAAGUUAUGUAUAGCAAGGCCUUAUUUUAUAUAUAUAUAUAUACUAGUUACAUAACCCGCGCGAUGCCGAGGGUUAAUUUUUUUUUUUUUUUUGCAUUAAAAAUAUCAAAAAAAACUAAGAUCUAAAAGUGUUAGGUUUUUCUGCAAAGUUAUACCCAAGAGUCUUGGGUUUAGCUGCAACGCCUGACCCAAGAGUAAUAUUUAUAAUAUUAAUAAUAACAUUAAAAUUGCAUGACCCAAGUUUAAGUGGGUCUGGCUGCAAUACCAGACUCAAUGGCUAGCUCGUCAAACCUGGGAUCUGUGUCAUGAAAGUCUGAUAACAAAAUUAAAAAAAAAUAACAUUAACAAACUAAAUUAAACAAAAAAAAAUUAUUAAGAGAAAAAGGCAAAAAAAAAACCCAUAAAGGCAUAAAAAACAAAAAAACAAUUAACUAAAAACGAAAGAAAAAUUAAAAAUGAAAAAAAAGACAGUUAAGUGUUUCACUGUGGACUACACUGUGUAGUGCACAAUGAAACACUAAGGCAUUUUAGUAUAUGUUAUGAUAAUAUAAUAUAAUAUAAUAUAAUUAUAAUAUUAAGCACAACGAAAAUAAAGGCGUGGGGAAAGAUUGACAGGUUAACCCAGAAUUAACUGGGCUAACCCGUCAAACCAGGUUAACCCGCCAAACCCGGGAUCCGUGUCAUAAAAGUUUGAUAACUAAAUAGAAAAAAAUUUAACAUUAACAAACUAAAUUAAACAAAAAAAUUAAUUAAAAAGAAAAACCAGAAGAAAAAAUCUGGGUUAACCCGUCAAACCCGGAAUCCAUGUCAUGGAAGUUUGAUAACUAAAUAGAAAAAAAAAAUUUACAUUAACAAAAAAAAAUUAAACAAAAAAAAAUAUUCAUUAAAAAAAACAAAAAAAAACAAAGCAAAAGGAAAAAAAAAAAAAACAGCUCAACCUUUUCACCCUUUUCACUGUGGACUACACUAUGUAGUAAAAGACUGAACAGUUUUAGUAUAUGUUAUAAUAACCCGUUAAACCUGGGAUCCGUGUUAUGAAAGUUUAAUAACAAAAUAGAAAAAAAAAUUAAUAUUAACAAACUAAAUUUUAAAAAAUUAAUUAAAAAGAAAAAAAAAGAAAAAAGCAAAAAAACAAUACUAAACAGAAAAAGUUCAAUUUAAAAGAAAAAAACAAAGAAAAAAAAGCCUACAUGAAGAAAAAAACUAAUGAAGAAAAAUAAAAACAAAAUCUGAAUUAACUGGGUUAACCCUUCAAACCAUGUUAACCCGUCAAACCUGAGAUUCGUGUCAUGAAAGUUUGAUAACUGAGUAGGAAAAAAAAUUUACGGGUCAAACCCGAAAUCCAUGUCAUAAAAGUUUGAUAACUAAAUAGAAAAAAAAAUUAACAUUAACAAACUAAAUUAAACGAAAAAAUUAAUUAAAAAGAAAAACUAGAAAAAAAAUCUGGGUUAACCGGUCAAACCUGGAAUCAAUGUCAUGAAAGUUUGAUAACUAAAUAGAAAAACAAAUUAACAUUAACAAAAAAAAUUAAACAAAAAAAAUAUUCAUUAAAAAAAACAAAGCAAAAAAAAACAAAAAAAAAAGCUCAGCCUUUUCACUGCACUGCAAUAAAAGACUGAGCAAUUUUAGUAUAUGUUACAAUAAUAAAAUUAUAAUAUAAUAUAAUUAUAAUUAUAAUAUAUAAGUACAAUUAAAAUAAAAGGCGUGGGAAAGCUACGUACUUUUCCCACGCCUUUUAGAGUAUUGUUAAUAUAUAUAUAUAUAUAUAUAUAUAUAUAUAUAUAUAUAUGUUUUUUUCUAAAACAAGCUUGUGGAUUUUGGGGUGAGUAAAAAAAUUGAAAAUUUGAUUUAACCGAGAAAACUGAAAAAAUAUUAACAAAAAAAACCGAACCAUAAAAAAAAACCAAUUAGAAUAUUUAGAAAAACUUCCGGUUCAGUUUGGUUUUGAUUUUAUAAUGCUUAAACCGAGCAACCUGAACCGAACACAAUCGAUUUAAAUUAAAAAAAAAUCUAUAAAUACUUCUCAGUCCUCACAAUCAGACAUGCCACACAAUCCACACAGGCCACACCACAUUUCAAAUUUUCAAUCCUCACAGCGGUACAGCCUCCCACAACACUAAAAAAAUCUACAAACUCUACACCCAAUUAAUUAUUCGUACUUCCACUACCCCCCACCCAAGCUCUCACAAGUCUACUCACGUCUUAAUUCUUCACAGCACACAGCGCACAGCACACAGCACAAUUAAUACAAUUAAUUCUUCACAGCACACAGCACACAACACAAUUAAUUCUACAACACUAAUUCUUCGUUCUUCAAAGUUCAACCACCCUAACCUAAGCUCCCACACACCACACCUAACCUUUCAAUCUUCAUUCUUUAAUCAUUUUUAGAUAUAUCAUCCCAGCAACAACCCUAAGCCUCAACAGCAGUAAGAUUUCUUCAAUUUACAGGUGAUUAGUAGAGGCAAUAAAGGUGGGGUCGGAGCUUAAUUUUAUGGUUUGGGUUGUUGGCCGUUGCUAUGUUUUUUUAAAAAAAAAAAAAUGGGUAAAGAAAGUGGUAGUGGGCACUGGACAAUGUUUAUUGUAGUGGUGAUGGUUUGUAUUUGAGAGUAUGGUUUUCGAUGAUGUAGGUUUUUGGGUUUGUGAUAGUGAGGAGUGAUUGAUUACUGUAAAAGAGCAUGAUGUGUUUUUGUGGUUUUGUAGGAGGCUAUUUGCUUGAGAAAAGGCUAGUAUAGAUUCAACACUGUCGUUGGGGCUACUGGUGAUGAAGAUGGGUUUGAUUUUUUGGUUUUUGGAUGUUAAAAAACAAUAUAGGUUUUUUCGGUUUUUGACAUAAAAACCCAAACUGAAACCGGUCGGUUGGAACCAGAUUCGGUUUGGUUUUGGUUUUCUUUUUAAAAAAAUUCAAUUUGGUUGUUUUUAUAGAUAAAAACCAAACCGAACCGAAAACAAUCAUCUUAUUUUAGCUCCUAAAAAUCUACUGAGUGGGGCUCCUCUCCUAAAAAUAAAUCAUAAAGUGGGGCUAUUCAUUUAAGAUGAGCUCAUAGAGUAAGGAUCCUUCAAUAAAGAGAGAUCGUGAAACAAAGCUCUUUCCUUUGAGAAUUCAACACAUCUAACACUAUAUAUUUUUAUAUAAUUUAAAUAAUUUAGUGUUGUAUGUAUUAUAAUUUUAAAAAUUGUAAUUUAAUAAUUCAAAAUAAAUACAUGAUUUUUUAUUUAUCACAUGGCAUAAAAUUACUGGAUGGAUUUAUAUCAUACGUUUUUUUUUCUUUCUUAUAUCGUCUCUAGAUUAUGAGAGUGAUUAUACCAACCCCAAACAAUUGCCUGAACCAUGCAACUACAUCAAUAAAAGGAAGGGAUAUGCCAUGAAAUUGCAUCAUACCACAUACUAGAAAUCCCCUAUCACUAAUUAAUUUUAUUAUUUUUUUCAGAAUAGAGCAGAUGUUGCUCUCUCUCCCUGUUCUUCUAACCAUCCUUCUCGUUAUCUCUUUUUCAUGGACAUUGACAAAACUUAUCAAAAGCAACGAGUCAAGUUCAAAUCCACCUCCUGGACCAUGGAAAUUACCCUUUAUUGGAAACCUUCACCAGCUAGUUCACCCUCUGCCCCCAUCAUCGCCUAAGGGACUAAAAUAUAUUAUUGAAACCAUCACCUGCUGGUUGAUAAAUUAUUUCAAAUAAAAUAAAUAAUCAAAAUAAUAAAAAUUAAAUCUAAAAUAUUAAAAUAUUUUGGCGCUAAAAUAUAUUAUGAAAUAAAAGUUGUCUCAAUUAUGAUUUUUAAAUUUUAUCUUAUGAUAUUUGAGUUGUCAUAACUUAAUUUUGGUUCCCAAAAAUUAUUUGUAUAUUUUUAUUUUUUGUUCAAAAAAUCCAAAAUAAUCAGAAAUUUAAAAUUAAAAAAAAUAUUUUCAGGACACGAGGAGAUAAAUAUUUGAGUUGCAAAGGAUAAAAAUACCAGAAAAAUAGUCAAAUUGAAGUAUGCUGACAAGAUGAGUUGAAGAAAGACUUGAUUUGAAGCAAAAUUUAAGGUUGAAUUCCAAUUCGACCAAAAUUAAAAGAAUUAACUAGGUUCAAUGACUUAAUUAAACUUUUCAUGUUUUGGGAGGAUUCAAUAAGAGACUCAAGUGAAGAAAAAUAAAGUUUGGAGUAUUAAUUCAGAUCAAUUCGCAAAGAUUAGAAGAUUAUGGACAUAAUUGGAGCUUUGGAAGUUUAAAUUGAUGCAAUCAUGGGUGCAAUUACAGGAAAAUUAAAGUUUGAAGGCUAAUUAAGGGUAAAUUGAACAAUUCUAAAACUAAGGAUCAAAGUGAAAAAGACGUGCAUAUUCAGGGACUGUAAUUGAUUAAAAAUCAAGAGUAAAUUUAAAGAAACUAGAAUUUUGAAGCUCAAUCGAUAAUGAAAUUAAAAAUAUUUAAAACCAAGAGCUAUAUUGUAAAAGAUCAUGCCAAAAUUAACAUGACCAGCGAUUUAAUAAAAACAAAUCUUGAAUAAUCAAUUCAAAUUGUCCGAAUUCAAUGAAAAUAGAAGGAGCCUAGGCACCUUCCCCACCUUCUAUAAAUAGGGGGAGAGGACAGAACUGAAAAACCCACACCCACACACUGCGUUCGCAAUCAGUCCAACCAAAACCAGAGGGAAUUCCCUUGUCCCACUUUUCCUCCCCUGUUCCAGCUAAAAACACCAUUUCUCCUCCCCUACAGCACCAAGUACACCACACGAGAACACCACCAGCAUCCUAUUCCAGCCAAAAACAACAAUCAGAGACCCUGUCACUAAUUAAUAUUUGUUUUUCAGAAUAGAGAAAAUGUUGCUCUCCCUCCCUGUUUUUUUAACCAUCCUUCUCGUUAUCUCCAUUUUAUGGACAUGGACGAAACUUAUCAAAAGCAACAAGUCAAGUUCAAAUCCACCUCCUGGGCCAUGGAAAUUACCCUUUAUUGGAAACCUUCACCAGCUAGUUCACCCUCUGCCCCAUCAUCGCCUAAGGGACUUGGCCAAGAAAUUUGGCCCUGUCAUGCAACUUCAAGUUGGUGAAGUUUCCACUGUCAUUAUUUCUUCAUCAGAAGCGGCGAAAGAAGUGUUGAAAACCCAUGAAAUCAACUUUGUUGAAAGACCUCAUCUCGUAGCUGCAAGCGUCCUGUUCUACAACCGUAAAGACAUUGCAUUUGCACCGUAUGGCGAAUAUUGGAGACAACUAAGAAAAAUCUCCAUAUUAGAGCUUCUUUCUGCAAAACGUGUACGAUCAUUCAAAUCUAUUAGGGAAGAAGAGGUAUCUAAUUUGAUUACUUCCAUUUAUUCAAAAGAGGGGUCUCCAAUCAACCUUAGUAGGAUGAUAUUUUCUUUAGAAAAUGGCAUCACUGCGAGAACAAGCAUUGGUAAGAAAUGCAAAAACCAAGAAGCUUUCUUACCAAUUGUUGCCGAAUUGACGGAGGCACUUGGAGGUUUUAAUAUGAUAGAUAUAUUCCCUUCCUCCAAAUUUAUUUACAUGGUCAGUCGGGUCAGGUCUAGACUCGAAAGGAUGCAUAGAGAAGCAGAUGAGAUACUUGAAAGCAUCAUCUCCGAGCGUAGAGCCAACUCCGCUUUAGCGUCAAAGAUGGACAAGAACGAAAAGGAUGAUCUUCUCGGUGUUCUUUUGAAUCUCCAAGACCAUGGAAACCUUGAAUUCCAAUUAACAACAAGCGCUAUCAAAGCUAUCAUCCUGGUUAGUAUAUAUUUUCGCUUUGUUACACGCACUAAUCAAUCAAUUUUUUUUCAAAAAAAUAUAACCAUCCACAAACUUGAUGAAAUGAAAACAUAUAUAUAUAUAUAUAUAUAUAUAUAUAUAAAUGCAAAGCAAUGGUCUAUACUCUAUAUUUGACUUACAUCAUGUUACUCUUAACUGGAAGUGAACUCAAUCCUAUCUAACAUGUCAUACUUCAUUACCUUUCAGGAAAUGUUCGCUGCUGGAGGUGACACUUCGUCAACAGCUUUAGAGUGGGCAAUGUCAGAAUUGGUAAAGAACCCGAGAGUAAUGGAAAAGGCACAAAAAGAAGUGAGACAAGUCUUCAAUGAUAUUGGAACUAUUCCUGACGAAGCAAGCCUUCAUGAUUUAAAAUUCUAGAAGUUGGUUAUCAAAGAAACUCUAAGAUUACACCCUUCUGCACCAUUGAUUCCAAGAGAGUGUGGGAAGAGCUGUAAUGUUAUUAAUGGAUACGACAUCCACGUCAAAAGUAAAGUAUUGAUUAAUGCAUGGGCAAUUGGAAGAGAUCCUAAUUAUUGGAAUGAACCUGAGAGAUUCUAUCCAGAGAGAUUCAUCAAUGUUUCGACUGAUUUUAAGGGUAGCGACUUCGAAUUCAUCCCAUUUGGUGCUGGAAAGAGGAUGUGCCCUGGCAUGUUGUUUGCUAUAGCCAACAUUGAGUUUCCACUUGCGCAGAUGUUAUACCAUUUUGACUGGAAACCUGCUGAUGGAUUGGAGCCUGAAAAUCUUGACAUGACUGAGUCUCUUGGUGCAUCAGUUAAAAGAAAACGAGAUCUUAAUUUAAUUCCCAUUCCAUAUCGUUCACUUGUGGGAUAAAAACUGCUAAAUUAUUUUAGCGCUAAAAUAUAUAUUAUGAAAUAAAAGUUGUCUCAACUAUGAUUUUUAAUAUUCAUCUUAUGAUAUAUGAUAUAAUUUGUCAUAACUUAAUUUUGUUUGGGUUCCUCAAAAUUAUCUGUAUAUUUUUAUUUUUCCUAUAUUUCUCUUAGAUAAUCAACUCAAAUUAGCCGAGGGAGCGAAUGCACCGUCACCACCUCUAUAAAAAAAAAAGAUAUUUAAUAAUGGUAGACAUAACAGAUUUGCGAUAAUUAAAAGUGUAUUUAGAAAAUUAAUCCUCCCUCUAUCCCCAUAAUUUUACGAUUUAUGCCAUAAGAUACUUAAGUGAAAAUAAUUAAAGGUUAGAAGAGAAACAUAUUUUUCUUUGUCAAAUUACAUUUAAAUUUUAUUUUCUUAAAGGGUUUCUAUGGAUGAAAGUAGGCUUUCUUUAAAUAAUUAUUUGAAUAUAACAAUCUUGAAGUUCUAAGAUUACAGAUAUUCUGUUUUAUAAUUGAUUGACCAUAUUUAAUGUUUUUCAUUUUCUUUCAUUGAAGCCUUUAUCAUUUUUGGGCUUCGCUAGGAAGUACAUUCUACUGGGCUGAGCCCUUAAAAUCUAAAGUUGUGUAUGGUAAAGCCUAAUUCUAUCAAAGACAAAAUGAAAAAACUAUUUUUAGGUUUUUAAGGUUUGUUUGCCUAUCAAAAGCAUUACUGUUGUUGUUGUUUUUAAAAUCUAUUUUGUAAAAAAAAUUGAGUUAUUUUUUUUAUAAUUUUAUAUUUAAUAUUUGGAAUUAUUACCUAUACAAGAGGUGGUUUUUUUAUAUUAGAUAAAUUAGAGUUUAAUUUUUUUAUUUUAUUAUUUAAAAAAUACAAAGAAACAAUCUCUCUUUCAAAAAUUCAUUUAAAUAUUUUCAUGAAUAAUAUUUUAUAUACACACAUGGCAUAAUUUAGCAUUUUCAAUAUAAAAAAUUCAAGAAAAUUAGUUUUUAUUUUGCAUGCAUAUUAGAUUUAAUAACUAGAUUAUUAAAGUUAUGAGAACUUAGCCUAAAUUUCAAAAACAUCAAAAAAUUAUUUUGGUUCUUUUAAUAUCCAGGAUUAUGAAUUUAUAUAUAAUAUGUUUUCUCGGUAUUGAGUAAAAAGAUAAUUUAUUUUAUUUUUAUGUUUUGAAUGUAGAAUGGUUAUGCUUAACUCCUAAAACUAUGGUCCACUCUACUGGGAUAAAUCAACUUUAAAUAUUAGACAGAUCAACAGUUAGAAUAUGAAAUAAUACUUUAGAUUGUAUCAGACAAAUAAACAAUGUAGUUUACCUUAAAUAAAGUAUAUUAAAGAUGAUACGUUCUCCCUAUAUAUAAUUAAUUUUCUUAUCUAGACUCUAAAAUCAAUUAAGAUAAUUAAGAUUUUUAAUCACUAAAAUAUUAUAUAGGAAUUUUUUAUAUAUAUAUAUAUAAUAGCUUAAAGAUUGGUUAGGUGAUCAAAAAAGGUAUUUGUUUUUUUUUUUUUUUUUUGUAAUCGUAGAUAAAAUCGAGGCAUGUUCUUUCCUUGAUUUCAUGAGUUCAAGACUUAGUGUUAACAUUCAAAAAAAAAUCAAUUUCUUUUAACACAUCAAGCCAAUAUUUAUUUAUUUAUUUAUUUUUAAUAUAAAAUAAUUUAUAUAAUUGAUUGGUGUUUUUUAAUUGUUGGUUUGUUUUGGGUUCUUAACACUGUUGCAACCUAUUUCCAGUUCAUUCAAAUAUUUAUUUUUUUUAUUUUCAAAAAUUGAUUAAUUAACACAGCAGCCUUUUUUCUUUCUUGACAGUUGAAAACACAACAGCGCUUUCGGUAGCAGUAGACGAGGAAGCAGCAGCUCCUCAGCAAAACACGCGCGCACAGUCGACGCGAACCAGCAGAGUUUUCUCUCCUUCACAGCAGCAGCACACACGAAAAGGAAGUCAAUUUUCACGCAAACAGCAGAAAAGAAUCAGUAGCUUUAGUUUCCAAAAUUACAAGCAGCAGCCUUGUUUAAUUUUAUUUACAGCAAGAAUGUUCUCCCAGCAAGCAGCUUCAAAACAAUUCAGUAGCUUCCAUAAGAAAUAGCAGUUACUAGCAGCGCCAAGGUUAACGUGAAAAGACGGCAUAGACAGUAGCAGCAGCCUUCUCCUUUCAUGACAGUAGCAGCGCAGCAGCAGCAAACACACAGACGCGUGGCAGUAGAAGAAUCUCCUCCAGCAGCAGCUGCUCAAAACAGCAGUAGUCCAGCAGCUCCUUCCCGCAGUACGUGUCCAAAUCAGCAGUAACAUUCCCUUGCAGCAGCAGUUGCCUUAAGCGGGAGCAGCAGAAACAUGCGUCCUCCCAGCAGCAACUCAGUUCAAGCAGCUGUCUUUAUUCACAGCAGGAUAUUUUCCCAGUAGAAAAUUUCCAGCAGAUUCAUCUUUGAAAUUCUUGUACCACGGCAAGAGGAUGCGCGACAUAGCAAUGACUCGAUGUGAGUCCAUUUAUCUCAAACAUUCUUUGUACCCACGCUUUGCAGCGAGACUAGAAAAUUUUUUUAACAAAAAAACAAUGUUAAGGUACUGAAAAUGAGCAAAAAGAAAAUAUAAUAAAUCAUUUAUGAUUAAUAGGUAAAAACGCUAAUUAGAGCUGAGCCAACAUGAGAUAUCUAUCAAACCCGUGAUCUGAAUUAUGUGACUAAAAUAACCUGAUUAAAAAUAAAAAACAAUUAUAAAGCUUAACUUUUUUAAACUCGUAAUCCGAGUUAUUAAACAUGAAGCAUCUAAUCUAGAAAAAUCAUGAAAUUCAAUUUCAAUGAAAAAAAAUAAAUGAUGAAAUUGAAGAAAAAAAAUCUAAUCACACAAAAGAAUUUUAAAAAAUAGCAAUUUAAAAAAUUAGAAUCAAGAUCACUAUAACAACUAUUAUUAAUAAAUGAUAUCAUCACUAUUACUAUUAUCAUUAUGACCACUAUUAUCAUUUCCAUCAUUAUUCAAGUUGUUGUUAUUCUUCUUCUUCUUAUUCUUAUUCUUAUUCUUAUUCUUAUUAUUAUUAUUAUUAUUAUCACCACCAUAAUUAUUGCUAAUAUUAUUAUUGGUAGUAGUAGUAAUAGCAACAUUCCUAUUAAUAUUAUUGUUAUUUUAACAAUCAACACCAUAAUUAUCAUAAUUAUCAUCAUCAUCAUCACAACAAUUGUUAUAAGUAUUUUUAUUAUCAUCAUUGUUAUUCUUCAUCUUCUUCUCUCCCAUAUUAUUAUUAUUAUUAUUAUUAUUAUUAUUAUUAUUUGUAAUAAUAGUAAUAGCAGCAGUAGUAUUAUUAACAUCACAACACUACAACAACUACUAUUAUUAUUAUCAUCACUUUUUUACAACAACAACAACAACAACUAACAUUACAAUUAUUAUUUUUAUUAGCAUCAUCAUUAUUAUUAAUAUUACCAUGAUUAUUAUUACAAUUAUUAUUGUUACUAUUAUUAUUAUUAUUGAAAAAAUAAAAACUAUGAACUUGAUUUGAAUGAUAGAAUUGAAAACUAUAACAACUUUGAGAAAAUAACCAAGGAAAACAAUAAGAAAUUAAAAAAACAAGACCAAAUUGAAAUCACUAUUAUCAUUGAAAAAAUAAAAAUCAUAAACUUGAUUUGAAAGAUCAAAUUGCAAGCCAUAAAAACUUUGAGAAAAGAGCAAAGGAAAAAAAUUAAGAACUUAGAAGAAAAAGGACCGAAUUGAAAUACAUUAUAUAUACAAAUUAAGAACCAAUAGUUAUAAUGAAAACAAACAAAACUUCAGCAACAAGGAAAAUGACUAAAAAACAGCAAUCAAAACUCUAAGAUUUAAAUUUGAAAUAACAAAAAAAAUGAGGACCAUAAUGUAUUUACGAGGGCAGGAGAGAGAAAUGAUGGAAAAAAAGAAAGGGUCAUCAGCUCUGGAGCACACGUGCCACCUAUAAUGAAAGAGAAGACUGCAAGAAAUAAUACGGCGGACGAUCAUUAUAACAACCAUAAAUUGUCACACGCGUUGUCCAAAGUAUGUGGCAGUUCCAACACGCUAACAAUUUUUUAAAUAAGAAAUUAUUAUUUUAAUGGUAAAUUAUGUAACUACCCCCAACCAAACUUACAAUUAACAAAAACAAAACCAAGGUUAAAAGAUCAAAAUACCCCUGACAAUAAUGAAUUAAAUGUCUUGCAUCCAAGGGUAAUUGUGUAAUUCUACUAUGUAUAAAAAAAUACGUAAAUACCCCUACCCAACAACACUUAAUGUUUUUUGCUCCUAGGAUAUUUUGGUUAUUUUACUGUUUAUGAAAACAUUGAAUAGACAAAAAUACCCCUAAAAAAAUUAGUAAUAGCUUAUGAAUCCCGUGAAAAAUACCAAAAUUUCCCUAAUUUAAAGGCAUUCAUUUUUUAUAUGGGAAAGACAAAAUAGUCACCACAUUAUAGUGGUGAAUAGGAAAAUGUGAGGGGCUCCAAUGAAUUUCCCAUGCCUUUUAAUACAUUUGUUGUUUGUUGUUCAAAGAACUUUGUGAUAUUUUGUUAAUUUUGCACAUGAUUUCUUUUCAUGUUCAAUUAUGCUCAUUUGUAUUAAUUGAAUUGGUUGAAAUGCUUGUGGUUAUUCAUGGUGGUCAUGUUUGGUGGAAUAAUAAAUUUAUGGUGGAUUAAUUUAAUUUGUGUAAUGAAAAGAAACAAGUCAAAACUCGGGUCUCUAUUUACUAUCAUUUCAAAUCUUGUUUCAUAAUCUAAAAAGUGAGUAUUGGACUUUGUUAUCAAACCUAAAUCUCAAAUCACCAUCCUAUGAAUUUUUACCUCUAAUAAACACAAGUAUUUAGUUGAGGCAAAUAGUAGCAUGUAUGCACAAUACAUAUUUUUAUCAUUAAAAACAAAAUUCAAUAAAGCUUACCUUAGAUAAAAUAUUUUAUGGUGAUUUUUAUCUUUCUUUUAACAUAACUUACCCCUUACCCAAAAGUCUCUAGAAGCCCGACUAGGAUUUUUGAUUUCUCAUAUGGAUCACCAAGAUGUCCAAUGUGAUAGAAUGCCGACUAACUAGGGAUAAUUAGUGUUAAGCUUUGUUUGUUUGAUUUUUAUGAUAAAAUACUCAAUAUGUUUUGUACAUGUUUUAUGCUUGUUUAUCUAAAACUAUUUAAUGUUUAUUAUUUGCAUGUAAUGGGCUAGAACUGUUUUUUAGGAUGUCUCUCUAUAAAAGCAACAUCACAGGAAGUCCAACCAUUACAUACUUCCAAUAUAAAACUUCAUGAUUUAAUCAAAAAGACUACUUAGUAUGUCAAAGUUUUCAGUGUGUAGUUGUUUUUUAAAAUUUAGUUGAUUAACCCUCAAUUGAAAAGGAGUUGAGUUGAAUGAUAAAUUAAUAAAUUAUUUUGUAUAUAUUUUCACAUUUUUUUAA
rnacentral:lncRNA from 1 species